rnacentral:lncRNA from 1 species
AUUCAUAGAUCAGCACAAAUUACAAUACUACAAUACCUGACACGACACUACGACUGACGACACCAAAGGCACGGAUUGUUGCGUACGUAUAGCCCUUGUAUAAGAGCAUAUACAUACAUACAUACUAGCUAGCCGUGUGUACACAGUAUACACACAGCAGAUGCAAUCCUUUAUUGACCAAGCAAACAGCUAUAGGGAUAAUUAAGUAGCUAUACAAGCACAUCAUCAUGCAUGUAUAGCAGAUACAUAUAUCUGUAAGGUUUUAUGUGUGCGUUUUUAUUUGUCAUAAUCCAUUAUUCGUUCGGUUCUUGCCUCGUCGUGCUCAUGAGCAGCAGCCGUGGCACUUGCCUUUCCACUUGCAGCAUGGGCCGCUAUGGCCGCUGCAGUAGCUCAUGCACUUGCCGUCAUAGUCGCAGCAGCCUUUACAGUUGCAAGGCCCGCACUUGCCGUCUGCAUGGAUACAUAUAUAUGGGAAAUUGAUUCAUUUAUAUGGUGAUAUACUCCUAUAUUAUAUAUAUUCGUUAAUUUUAUGCAAGCUCGUGAAGAAGACCAACAAAAACAUCAAAUUAAUUAAGCAUCAUCGAUCAGCAGGUGUUAAGCAAUGCAAGUAGAAGCUGAUAUCGAACACGAAGUAUAUACGUACUCCCUCCAUAUGAUAAUAUAAGAGAUUUUGGAUGGAUGUGACACAUCUUAGUACAAUGGAUCUGGAUAUACAGUAUAUCUAGAUUCAUUGUACUAGAAUGUAUCACACAUCUAUCUAAAAUUCUUUAUAUUUUAGGAUGGGGGAAGUAUUAAUGAGUAUCGAUCGAUUAAUUAUAUAUUCCUUGAUGUUAUAAUUAAACUGAAUUAUAAAUGCAUAUGUAUAUAUGUAGUGUAGAUAGUGAUCAUCACCGGCAGAGGCGACGUCGACGACGGCAGAUGCAGCCACCAGCAUCAGGAGAGUGAACACAACGAAAGCCUUGUUGGACGCCAUUAAUUUGUGCAAGCUAGCUAGUUGAUUAAUUAGCUCCCUCGAUCUCACUUACGAUGAUGCGUGUGUUUUGUGUAGUAGAUGGCAAGCGUGAACUUGGCCUAUUUAUAGGCGGAAAAUGGCUUGUGAUCCAAGGUACGAUCAAGUACAGGGGAGCCUUUUAGUCGAUCCCGUUGACGUUAUCACAUGGACCGAUUCAUGGUGAAGAAAUAUUAAGUUGACUGUACGUAGCAUUCUGUACGGCAUUAAUUAGUGUGUGAUUAUUUUUAGUCAGAGCUAGAUAAGAACGCACGACGUCUAUGUGAUACGUGCUUAGUGUGUGUUGGAAUUAAACUUGACAAUGGAUACCAACGUUAAUUUUUCUAUAACACAUUGAGUAAACUAGAUAUCAUUGUAUAUAUAUGUUGUGAAAGAGUACAAAAGAUGAUGUGCGAACAGGCUACAUAUAUAUACACACACAUAUGCGACUACACGACGUGAUAACCAAGUCAGCGAGGAUAACCUAUUGGAAGUUUUUACUACCACUAACAAGUACUAGUACCAACCCACCUACCAUCGUAUAUACUUGCGAGAAUCUUAGUGAAAUCUACGAAAUUAAAAUUCCAUGUAGAAGAUACUUAAAAUUGAGAAUCUAAAUAGGAAGUUUUUAGUCAUAAAAACAUUUCAAUCCCCAAGAGAGAUCUUUUAAAUCUAAAUAGGAAGUUUCCAAUAUCAAAAUCAAAACUCAUUCAAACCGAAACAAGAGAAGAGAGUAAAUGUUAAUCCUUCAGAAGUAAUAGUCUUGUCCGUGUAUGUUGCAACCCUGGGUGAAGCAUUUCAAUUCUCUAAAUAUAAUUAUAACUAGCAAAAGUGCUUGUGCGCUGCAACAAGAAAAACUAAAAUUAAAUAAAUUUAUCAAAUGAUUAGGGCUUAAUUAUUAUGAUAAGCUGAAUACCUUAAGAAAACAUAUUCUUCAUAUAGGUACGCCAGAUUACUUAUUCAAAACUGUUUAUUUUUUAUUACCCAAUCAAAUAUAGUUAUUCGUGGAGAAUUAAGAAGGCCACCUUGUAUGCAUGUAAACUGUAGGUGUAGAUGACCAUAUGAUCCGAGGCCCGACAGUCCGGCCCAAUGCACGGCAAUUUGGCCCAGCCUAAGCACGGCAUUGCCCGACUGGGGUCGUGCUCGUGCUGGCCCGGCCUAACCUAAAUAAGAAGUUUUUAGUCAUCAAAACAUUUCAAUCCCCAAUAGAGAUCUUUUAAAUCUGAAUAGGAAGUUUCCAAUAUCAAAAUCAAAACUCAUUCAAACCGAAACAAGAGAAGAGAGUAAAUGUUAAACCUUCAGAAGUAAUAGUCUUGUCCGUGUAUGUUGCAACCCUGGGUGAAGCAUUUCGAUUCUCUAAAUAUAAUUAUAACUAGCAAAAGUGCUUGUGCGCUGCAACAAGAAAACCUAAAAUUAAAUAAAUUUAUCAAAUGAUUAGGGCUUAAUUAUUAUGAUAAGCUGAAUACCUUAAGAAAACAUAUUCUUCAUAUAGGUAUGCCAGAUUACUUAUUCUAAACUGUUUAUUUUUUAUUACCCAAUCAAAUAUAGUUAUUCGUGGAGAAUUAAGAAGGCCACCUUGUAUGCAUGUAAGCUGCAGGUAUAGAUGACCAUAUGAUCCGAGGCCCGACAGUCCGGCCCAAUGCACGGCAAUUUGGCCCAGCCUAAGCACGGCAUUGCCCGACUGGUCGUGCUCGUGCUGGCCCGGCCUAACGUGCUCCCUCGGCAUGGUGGGCCAGCAUGGCCCAGCACGACCAAACAAAAUAAUUGAGGGAUCCAUCAUAGACUUAACUCAGCCAUUUGAGGUACAGCCCAAAGAAAAGAGGUGUAGAAAAUAGACUUAUUCCAGCCAUAUAAGACACAGCCAAAGAGAUGAGGGAGGCAAAAUAGACUUAUUCUAGCCAUAUAAGACAUAGCCCAAAGAGAUAAGGGAGGAAAAAUAGACUUAUUUAAUAGAGAAGCACGAUGGACCACUGUGCCUUCGGGCUGGGCCCGAGUCUUAUUGAGCCGUGCCUAGGCUGGGGGUGCAGCCCGUGGGCAGGCCCGACCCGAGUCUUAUUGGGACGUGCCUGGGCCGAGGGUGUAGCCCGUGGGCUGGCUUGGCCUGGCUUGUUGGUCGGGUUGUGCCGGCCCGACUAGCCUCGGCCCAGGGCCGGUCAUGCCUGGGUCGUGCUGGCCAGGUGGCCCAUUUGACCAUCUAUAGCUGUAGGUUCCAUAUGGAAAGGCAACAACUGAAGAAGAUUGCAGUCAAUGCUGAGCUGUACAAGCUUGAAGGAGUUUGGCAUCAAGAAUAUCAAGCUCAUCCAUGAGACCAUGACUGGAGCCAGCACCCCUCCUCGGAGCAUCGGCACACUUCACCAGGGGCCUCAUCUUUUUGCUUAUGCUGGUGUUUAUCAGCCAAAAUUUGAAUUUUCAACCUUAAAUUUGAAGUUUAUUUUUUAGCUUAGCUUUUAGAUUACUAAGAACACGUAUAUAAAAAUUUUAUUCACAAGUUACUUUUUGUUUGUAAAUAUGUCUUUUGGCUUAUUUCACAAAUAAGUGAAAUGAUGGAGCUCCAGGAUGCCCUUUGACCUCUUCCUCAUAUGCCAAUAGAAUCUGAAUUUUGAUAUGUGCUAGAAGAAUGAGAAGGCAAAGCUGAUUUUUGUGUCUGAAGUCUGAAAAUUAAUAUGCAUUAUAUAUAUUGAUGUGUGUAUAACAAUGCCGGUCUUACGAUGGUGUCACGGUCUCACAGGACUCGACAUUAAUUUUCAAAUUAGAUGUAGAGAAGCACUUGAUAUUAUAGUGGUAGGGAUGUAAUAUUUUAAUUCUGAAAUCUUAUGUUCAAUUUCCAACACACUCACAAUUCGAUGUAGAUCUCCUCGAAGUUGUGAUGGACAACAUCAUCACCGGCCGACUGCCCUCAGGAUCGAUAGGGAUGCUGUGUAUUAUUUCCUCCUACCAGCUAGCUAGCUCUCUCUGCGCAUGCAUGCACAUAUGCAUGCACAUGUGUACUCCAUACUCUUAAAGGAAGUCGUUUAGGAUAGCGACACGGUCUUCAAAACACAACUUUGACUACUUAUUUUUAUAAAAAAUAUUUAUUGAAAAGUGAUAUAUGUAUGCUUUUAUGAAAGUAUUUUUCAAGACAAAUCUAUACAUAUAAUUUUUACAUUUUUAAACUCAACUACUUGAGAGUUAUUCAUGAUUUAUAUUUUCAAUGUUUGACUUAAACAUUGUCCUAAACGACUUUCUAUGGAGUACUAGUAUACAUGAACAUCAUCGGCGGCGGACCACGCGGUGCCCAUGUCGACGUGUCGCGCUUGCCACCGCGCUGGACUUCAUCGCGCACGGCGCUGCUGUUCGAUGCGAGGGAGAAUGGCACGACGGCGGCCGGCGCGCAAGGAGUUUGCGCUCGGCUGGAAGCUGAAGCACACGCGGGCGCAGACUGGGAUCGGGCCGUGGGCGUGCAUGGGGGCACAAUAAAAGAGAGGCCCAGCCGAGCCCGCCGAGCGCCUCGAGCAGGAUGAGGUGGCCGCGAGGCCCACGACGGAUGGACGGAAAUCCUAUAUACUUAUAUAGUUUAUUAUAUUCUUAUAUAAUUUAUCUCCACUAAGUAUAGUUAAUGUUAUUUCUCUCUUUUCUAAUUAAGCCACAUCACCCCAAUUAUUUUUAGCCUUUGAAAGAUGGAUCUAUGGACCAAAUUGUCUCUUCUUAUUUCUCUCUUAAAAACAUGCAAUCUCAAUUACUUUUAGACUCAAAAUUAUAUCAAAUUGUUUUCAGUUUUAUACAUAUUAUGCAACUUAAUUUUUCGCAGCAACGUGUCGGGUAUUCAUCUAGUUGGGAUAACUGAUGUCACGACGGACCAAAAGGUGAGUGAGUAUGGAAUAAUCUUUAAGUGACUAACUCUCACUACUGCACAAACCGUAAUAGCUAGGUGCUAAUUGAAAAUCCACUAGUGCCAGAGUUUUCAGCCGACACCUUUCAAGCUUAGGAAUCAGCACCUUCAAAGUUCCAGAAAUAUCUCUAAUAUUAUAAAAGUUGAAGAUGUUUUCGCUGGCACUUUGGUACGUCAUCCGGUGUGCGAGUCGGUUUUUAAGUUUAUUCGCUUUUAGAAAUACAGAUCCGUAUUUGAGUCGGAUUUUAAGUUUGUUCGCUUUCGGAAAUACAGAAGGAGUCGUAUAAGAAAUAUUUUUUUAAAAAAAACUCGAAUACUAACUUGAGAUGAUCAUACUCCUAAUUAUAGCUCAUGAUUUUUACCUUAACGAAACCAUAUAACAAUAAUAAAAUCAAAAUAGUCUUCACCCGUUGCAACACACAAGCAUUUUUUCGCAUUUUUUCUAGUAUAAAAAAAAGUUGGCUCGAUUCUGAGCUGAUGCAUCGAGCCACUCCCUAUCACACCUAGACCAUCCUACAUCCACAUACCACAAUCAAUCAAUCCAACAAUAUCCCCCAAAUAACACAACACAAAUCACUAUCGAUCCAUCAAACAACAACAUCCCCCGCACAAAUCACACAACACAAGUCAUAAAAAUCCACUCACAAAUUUUGGCACUCCAAUUAGAAGUGCCCCACUCUCCGCGUUGGAGUAACCUACGCUCACUGUCGUGUUGGCUGGAUCUUGUGGCUGCCGCGUCUGGUAGGGGAAAGAAAGAGGCUGUCGCCGCCGCGCGGGAAAGAGGAAGAGGCUCAUGGUGGCUGGAUCUGGUCACCCCCGAGCUCGUGGUAGCCGGAUCCGGUGGCCGCCGCACAGAGGAAAGGAAGAGGUCACCACCGUGGCGCCAGGGAGAGGAAGAGGCACUGCUACAGCGUGGUGCCGAGGAGAGGAAUAGGCGGCCACUGCCGUUCCGCUAACUCCGUGGUAGGGAGAAGAAGAGGUAGUCGCCAUGAAAAGGCGGCUGCCGCCAUGCUAGGAGACGGGAUCGAGAUGGAGAAUGAUGGGGAGUGACGUAGGGGAUAAGGGCGUUGUGGGAGGAUAAGGACGCCCACUCCACGCUAUGAUCCAAUGGGCUAUGGCGCCCUAAAUAGCCAAUAGUAUACUUGAUCUAGCAGAUCUUGCAGUUGAUCAUGAGAUAGCACCCUGAGAGUCUUUUGUAUGGUAGACAAAGAUCAGGGCCGUGUCUAGGAAUUUGAGCCCCCGUCAAAACAUAAAUUUGAAGCCUGGUGGCGUUCUACUAAGUCAAGGUUGGGAAAAAGAAAUAUGUCUAGAUAUAGGUCCCGUUCGUUUUUUCUGUAAGGCUAGGAUAAAGAUUUGGAUUCUCGUGACACGCUUAUCAAACUGCUAAACGGGGUGUUUCGUGUAAAAACUUUCUAUAUGAAAGUUGCUCUAAAAUAUCAGAUUAAUCUAUUUUUUAAAUUUAUAAUAAUUAAAACUCAAUUAAUCACAUGUUAUUACCACCUCGUUUUAAACACUUAAUCUUUAUCUUCAGGAGAUUCAAACACCAUCAUAGUGAUUUAUUUUUAUUAUCUGAAAAAAAAAAGAAAAUUUUGAUGCAUGGAAUGCACCCUCAUACCGUUGUAGUGACCUAUACCUUUUUGAGUUGGCCAUGAUUACCAUUGAAUACUAAUCGAAACCAUAGAAAAUAAGUAUGUUUUAGCCAAUUAAUUAAAUUAAAUCAUUAAAAAAAAGGGAGAACAGAACUUUUAAAAAUAUAGUGACACUGGUGGAGAAACCAUCUUUGGUCGGUCGGCCGAAAUCCACAAUAGUCUCGGUUCCACUAAAAACCGGGACUAAAGAUCAUCUUUAGUCCCGGUUGAUGGCUACAGCGGGCAUAUUUGAUCUUUAGUCCAGGUUGGUGUGUCCCGGUUCUAAACCUAUCAGGCCUUUUCAGGCCCCCCGGGAUCUUUAGUCCCGGUUGGUGUUACCAACCGGGACUAAAAAUAGGCUCUUUAGUCCCGGUUGGUGUUAAUAACCGGGACUAAAGAUCCCGAGGAUAGCGCACGCACCAGCCCACGCUUCUCUCUCUGAACCUUGUGCAUGCGCAGCCUCUCUCUCCACCCUUAUCUCUUUUUAUUUUCCUUCCUUAUCUUCAUCCUCUCCAUCCUUCUCCUUCCAUCCUCCCCUUCUCUUCUCUCACCCCCUCUCCUCCUCCCCUUGCAGAGGCAGCCGGCGGGGGCGGGAUGGAGGCCGGGCGCGGGCUAGCGGCGGCGGGAUGGAGGUCGGGCAUGGGCUGGCGGCGGGCCGCCGGUGGCGGCGGGAUGAAGGCCGGGCGCGGGCUAGGGCUGGCGGCCGGCGGUGGCGGGAUGGCGGCCGAGCGCGGGUUGAGGCUGGCGGCGGCCGGCCGGCGGUUGCGGCCGAGCGCGGGCUGGGGCUGGCGGCGGCUGGCCGGCGGCGACGGGAUGGCGGUCGGGCGCGGGCUGGGGCUGGCGGCGGUCCGGCGCGGGUCGGCGGGAUGGAGGCCGGUCGCCGGCGGCCUCGCCCCCCCCCCCUCCCCCAGAUCCGGCCGGAUCUGGAGCGGCGGGAUGGGUGGCCGGCCGGCGGCGGGAUGGGAGGCCGCCCGGUGAGUCUUUUUUUUUGAUUUUUUUUAUUUGUGGUUUGGAUGUUUUUAUCUGUGAUUGAAUGUAUGAAUCUGUGAUGUGGUGACUGAGUAUGUGACUCGAUGUUGUUAAUGAACCUGUGAAUCAAUAUUGUGAAUAUAUUUGUGAUGUUGUGAACGAAUAUGUGAAUGAAUUUGUGAUGAAUCUGUGAAUUGUGCUGUGGAGUUGUGAUGUGGAUUUGGGGUUCAAUUUGACGAUAUGCAUACCACUCGAUUCGGGAGAAAAUAAAAAAAAAAGCAGAAAAGAAAAAAAGAAAAAAAAGGACCAGCUAGACUGCCGCUACCCUCUCUUUAAUCCCGGUUGGUGUUACCAACCGGGAGUAAAGAUCCCUAUCUUUACUCCCGGUUGGUGUUACCAACCGGGACUAAAGAUCGAUUUUUAGUCCCGGUUUUUUCACCCGGGACUAAAGAUAGCGAUCUUUAGUCCCGGAUUGGUAGUCCCGGGUUGAAAACCGGGACUACAAUGGGGUUACGAACCGGGACUAAAAAGCACUUCUCCACCAGUGUGAGAUGCGUUUAAACAUGUUGGAACGCAUUAACAUGAAUUAAAAUAUCAAAAAUUUAGGGCCUUAGUUUUUGGGCCCAGUUCGCCCCCAUGCAUUUCGCACACCAUUAAUAUAUUUUCGUCAGAGAUGUUGAGAUAAAAACUCAUUAAUUAUUUCAUUUAUUGAUUAUAGACAUGCACGAGUGUACACGGUACACACACAAGCCUUCAUACAUUGAUCAACAACCAAACAACUGUAUAGGGACUGGCUAUAAAACACAUCAUCAUGUAUAGAUAUAUAUUUAGCAAACCCGGACCCGGGCAUAUAAUUAAAUCAAUCAAACAUUAAUUCAAACUGUAGGUAUAUAUAUACGCGUUGCGUUUUUUUUUCUUCAUUUUUGUGAGAGAUCCACAUCAAAUUAUACUGUAUCUCUUUGUCUUCAGAUGCAGCACCGGUGGCACUUGCCGUGCCAGUGGCAGCACGAGCCCUUGAUCUGAUGAUGGCCACGACAGUAACGCAUGCACUUGCCGGCCGGAUAGUGGCAGCAACCCCGGCCGUGGCAGUCAUGGCCGCCGCCGCCGCCGCCGCCGCCGUCUGCAUAUGCAUGGGAAUACGGGAUCAGAUCAUCGAUAAACGGUGUACACGAAAAUUCAGUUGACGCAUGCAUAUGCGUGCAGUGCAGUUAAUUAGUGUGUAUCGAAAGGUUAAUUCGAUCGAUCUUGGCUUUUAAUUCACUAAUGAGAUGUAAUUACUAUGUAUAUAUUCGUUCCAAAAGUAUUGUAACCCAUUUUAGAACAACAAGGUAGCCCGCACAUUCGCGCGGGCAUGUGUUAUACGCUAAGUUUGAGAUACUAUAUUAACCAGACAAUAUCUCACAGUUUCUCUAUAAAAUGGUUUCGUGGCAUUAAUUGCUUUUAUAAUUUUAUAACCUAUUAGCUUUAUGUUAUAUCAUAUUUAAUUAAUAUCUAUAAGUAGUUAUUUAUAAUCUUAUAAUCAUUUGAAAAGAAAGUAGACUUAUUUUCUUUAGAAAACAUGUGAGCGUAAGUAAAAAUAAGUGUAAAGUAAAAGUAAAUUGUUUUUCUUUUUUAAUUGUAUAUAUAUAAUCAUAGUUUAUACUAAAGGAUGAAUUGGGUGGGACAUGAAGCUCCAUUAAAUGUAUGUGUUUAUAUAGCUUAAUAUGAUUUAUGUAGUUUGAGAGACGAUCCAUCUAUAAGCAUUUCAUGCUGAGUGAGAUGUUCCAGGCAGUCUAACAUGAAUACGAAAUGAUAAAAUAUAAUUGCCCGGUAAUAUUUUUGAAAUAUGAUGUACCAUGAAUACACGCUUGUUUUUGUAUAUAUAUAAGAUAGAUCUAAUGGUUAGAAAUAAUGGUUUCACUGGUUUAAAAGGCACAUGAGUAUUCCAUAUAUGGAGCUUAUGGUUGUUUUAAUUAUGUAGUUGGUGACUUAUGAACGCUCUGGAGGAUGUUCAAUUAAUUUUUGUUAUGUGCAAUGAUUUAGUAUAAUACAAUACAUAUUUUCAAUUAAUUUUCGUUUUUAUUUAGUGUCCAUGCAAACGAUAGGGUCUACCUUCAAAUGAUGUAUUUUAACUUUUAUACAGCAAAAUAUAGCUAAUGACGGUUUAAUUAUAAAUAAAACUAUAGCUAUGACAGUUUUAAUAUUAUGUUACUUAGAAAAAAUAAAAGAGAAGAUAAUAGAAUUGGAGAGGAGAGGAUGCGAGAGCAAGAGGGGGAGGAUCAGGUGGUAUACAUAAGGCAUGAUGAUGGGAGGAGAUUACUUUUUUUAAGAUAGAUAGAAUGGGUCCUAUAGUUUUGAGUUAUCUAUUUUUAUAAAUACAUUUAAUCAUAGAUAUAAUAUAAAAUAUAAAAUACUUGGGUUUUGUAUUUUAUAAUUAAACUGCUUAAAUUGAUUUGAUUUUAGUGUGUAUUAUUAAUCAGAAGCUUUAUAAAUCUAUUUAACUUUUUCUUAAAAAUAUAUGGAUAAGUGAACAAUUCUUAGUCUGUAGAAUAUAUAUGACCCAAAGUAAUGCAUUUUUUUUAAUAAUAUAGUUCAUUUGGAUCUUCAAUUUAAAAUUUUAUAGUAAAUAAUCUAGCGGUGUGCACCAAAAAAAUAGCUAUAUGAUUUAGAUAAUAUAGUUGUUUAAAAUUUGUUAUCAUAACAUAUUUUUUCCCAUCUAACUAAAAGACAAAAAUAAGAGAGAGAGGAAAUAUGUGGGGAGGUAAGUUACGCACGUAAACGGGAGGGGGUGGGAUAUGCUGGCCUUUUUUAUCCUUUCAUAUUUGGAUAAAUCACAGUGAAAAGUAUAACUAAAAGAGAAAAAUAAAAGAGAAAAAUAUAAGAGAAAGGAAAUAUAUGAGGAUGUACAUCACAUGUAUGUACGGGAGGGGUGGGAUAUGCGGGUCUUUUUUAUUCUUUUCUAUUUGAAUAAAUAAAUUUAGUGAUAGAAAACAAUGGGUCACAUGAAAAUCAAAUAUUUGUGAUUGUUCUAAUUUAUUAAAAUGUCAAGUGACAACAUAGAAGUGUUUAUAGGAGUAUAUAUAACGGCUCGAGAGCGUUUAUAGGAUUUUUAAUGGACUUUUAGUAUAUAAUAAAUCGCAAAAUCUAUUUCGAGAGGCAUCUCGAUUUAGACUUAAUGAGCGACGCGGACAAUUACGUGAAUUACGUGAGAAUUACUAGUAGUGUUACAGACAUGCAUGCAAGUAGUUUUUGCUAUUAGGUUGUGCAUAUAUUUUUUCUUCUUAUAAAAUUUUCUCUUAAAUUACUUAUCCGAUCUAUAAUCCGAUUACACCGUUGUGUUCGUAACAAUUAAAUCUUUACGACAAGAUCUCACAUGAUUAUAUUUUGAUGAAAAAUUACAAAUUACUUUUAUGAUAUGUCUAAAUUACUUUUAAAUUUCAGUAAGUUACUUCUUAGACAUACAAAAGUAAAUUCAGUAAAGCCUAAAAGUAAUUUACAUAUAUUAUAGAAGUAACUUAAAACAAAACGAAUGCAACUUUGGUAUGUCAUUUGAAGUAAAUCCGUUGUAAAGAUAAAAACAUGACUCUAUCUAGAAAUUAAAUUAAUCAGCACAAAUUAUGAAAUUAACUAAAAACAAUAAUAAAAGUAAUCACCUCAGAGCAUUAUAAAUGUAUAGGAAGUAUUUUAAUCAAAUCUAAAAGUAACUUAUAUAUGAUAAUUAUAUAUAUGAUAAUUUGUUCAAUGAAAAAAGGUAUUAAUUAAAGUUACUUUCUUUUUGUUAUAAGUUACUUCUAUAAUAUAUGUAAAUUAAUUUUAAGUUUUACCGAAUUUACUUUUGUAUGUCUAAGAAGUAACUUAGUGAAAUCUAAAAGUAAUUUAGACAUAUCAUAAAAGUAAUUUGUGAUUUUUCAUCAAAAUAUAAUCAUGGGAGAUCUUGUUGUAAAGAUUUAAUUGUUACGAACACAACGGUGUAAUCGGAUCGUAAAUUGGAUGAGUAGUUUAAGAGAAAAUUGUAUUUGAAGUAUAGGUGGAUGGUGUCUCUUAUAAAUAGAGUACCACAAGCUGUGUAGUCACGUCCAAAAAUAUAUAUAUUUUUUUUUUGAAAAAUAAUCUAUCUUAUAAUAGAUGUAUGCAUAGCUCUUAUAAACCCAGAAGGACUUUCCCCGGUCAGCUGUUCUUGCAAGAGCCAGUGGUUCGCAUCCUUUGGCCAUGUUUAUGUGCAGCUGGCGAGCAAAACCUUCUUUGCUCGUCGCUAGAGCAACACGGCAAAAAGUUUUCUACUGGAAUCCUUUACCAGGUUGCGCUAAUUACCAAAGCACAUCUGUUACUCGUGGAAAAGUGAGAAUAUGAUUUAGUAUUAUGGAGUUGACCCGAAGAUAUAUUUCAAUUAGUUCCGAUCGAUUUGAUUGUAGAAAAUGAACCGAAGUUUGAUGAUAGUAUCAUGGAGAUAAGACAAAUAACAAAUUCUUAAUCGUCUUAUCAUCUACCGCUUGAUGACCACAUUUUUCCACGACCUGCAGAUUUUUUCUUUUUUGAAACUUCAUCGCUGAGUAAGAGAGUUUUUUUAGACUGACUAAUUAAGAGACUUGGGAAGAGGAAAGAUGGGAGAGAGCUCGAGAAGUUGAAACGGGAGGGGAGCAGAGCGCGCACAUGCGCAUGGGAGGGGCGAGGUGUAUGGGAUUUUUUUUUAAGUUAAUAGAUAUAUCUAAAUCUAAUCUAAUGGUUAAAAAUAAUAGGACGAUCAAUUUAAGUGGAAGCCAUGUUUUGUGUUUUUCUCAGAAUUUUUAGGAUUUACUCUAAUUUAUUAGAGCGCCACGUGUCGGUUUUAGAGCGUUUGUAGAAAGUUUAAUGGACUUUUAGUAUAUAAUAUAUAUGUUGUUAAUAUUAUCGGGUCCACCGCUUUAAAUGAAAUUUAACGGUUAGAUAUUUUUCUUCUUCAAUCAAAAUUUUGUACGAAUUUCUCUAAUUUAUUAGAGCGUCAUGUGGCAUCUUAAAAGCGUUUGUAGGAGCGUCACGUGACGACUUAGGAGCAUUUGCAUGAGUUGUACUCAGUUGAAACCUCAAUUAUAGUUUAUCAUGGUUUAAUAGUUCUAAACUUCGUGAUUAAUGAAUAUAUAAUUGUCCUCUGUUUGGUUUCUUAACUAUAGAAUUUUCAUGAUUAAAUGAUUUCGAAAUUUGGAAUUAUUGAGUUGUAUUUGGUUUAAAAGUUGGCCCUUUUAAAGUAGAGUCGUUGCGAACUUUGAGAGGAGAAAAUAACACUUAUCACAGUUGGAGAGGUUGGAGGAAGACUUCCAUAAUCCUUGUAUUGCUAUACAUACAUCAUCAAGUAUGGAGAGUUGCCCUUCUACGUUUCUUCAGAUUGACACAUUAAACUACUUUUGUACAACCUAACGUGCACAACUAACUUCGAGAGAAACGUACAGGUGGAUUAGAUGGUGGCCCACAAAACGUUUUAGAAAAAUAAGUGAAAAUAAAUCUAAUCUAACGGUUUGGAAUGUUGGGUCCACUAAUUUUAACGAAAAUCAAAGGUCAGAUAUUUAGCUUUUUUCUCAUAUUUUCUUGUGCCAUGUGACGACCUAGGAGCAUUUGUAGAUUGCCACGUGGCGGCUUAGGAGCGUUUGUAGGAAGUUUAAUGGACUUUUAAUAUAUAAUAGAUAAUAGAAGAUAGAUAGAUAGAUAGAUAGAUAGAUAGAUAGAUAGAUAGAUAGAUAGAUAGAUCGAUACAACAGAUCUGAACGGAUAGGUAAACUAUAUGCAGUAAUGAUGCAGCUGCUCACGAGAGUCCUCGGCGGAGGCGACGUCGAUGAAAGCAGCGGCGAGCAGGAGAGUGAACACUAGCAAAUUAAGCUGCCUUGGACGCCAUGGCUGCAAGGUAGUAGGUUAAGUGAUCUUAAUUUGUAUGUUUGUAUGUAUAAAACAUGCACCCACUAGAUAUAUUUAUAGGUGCAAAACUGUAAAUUAAAUGGAUCUAUAUAUAUAUAUAUAUGAGCCAGGUCCGUUUGAGUAUAGGAAAAGCUUUAGUUUUUAGUGCCAGUUGGAAUUAUCAUAUUCAUAAUGACCGACUCAAUGGUUAAGAAAUACUCCCUCCGUCCUAUAAUAUAAGGGAUUUUGAGUUUUUGCUUCCAACGUUUGACCACUCGUCUUAUUCAAAAUUUUUUGAAAUUAUAAUUUAUUUUAUUUGUGACUUGCUUUAUUAUCUACCGUAUUUUAAGCACAACUUCACGUUUUUUAUAUUUGCAAAAAAAAUUUAAAUAAGACGAGUGGUCAAACGUUAUAAUCAAAAACUCAAAAUCCCUUAUAUUGUGGGACGGAGGGAGUAUUAAGUUUGAAUACAUAGAAUUCGACAUUAUAUACUUAGUGCCAUCUGAGCCGUCAGGUUGAAGCGCUCACGGCAUAUUAUAUGUAUGAUGCAAGCAUGCUUACUGUAUUCAAAUAUAUGACACAGGACUGAUCUACAAAAGUAAAACUAGAUAAUGAACUGCACCAAUGCUAAUGAAUUACAACAUAUUCGGUAAAAAGACUAUCAUUAGUAUGCUACAUGAACGUCAAAUUUCUCUGGGAACAGGCCAGUUAGCGUACACGUGAGCAUGGAAUGCAACUAAUUGUCAGCGAGGGCUUCCUAUUAGUACGAAUUCGUCUAGCUAUCGAUCGGCACUGCAAUCUAGCACCACCUAUCACCAUGCUGGCGGAUCUUAGUAAAACCCACAAAAAUCUCAUGUAAAGGUUCCACGAAAUUGAAGAGUUGACAUUAAGUUUGAUUGCUGUGGUUUUUUUUUUUGUUGUUGAAAGUUUCUUAUACUGAAUGGGAAGAGUUUUACUUUAAUUGAAGGUUUCCAAUCAUUCUGAACAGAAGAAGUUGUACUCUGGAAAAGUCUGGAUAAGUGUUGACGAAGAAUUCACGCUCAACCGAUGAUGCCAAAUUUGUGUUGGAGCGAACUAAGUCGACAAACACAAUGGCCAGAAAGAUCCGUUUAGCUUUAAUGCAGGUCCUAAACUUUAAUGAUAUGCGAGCGUGCCAGUUAGUUUGAUGCUAUAACUAACAAGAUAUAUAAAUAUAAGAUCAAAGAGGCGAUCGACUGGCAAGCCGAUAUAGCAAUACUGGCCGAUGUCGUUGCCAGCUGAUGUCAGCCAUCUCUAGCAUCAUACUUAUUAGGAUAUGGUUUUUCAUCUCUCUAGUAAAUAUCUCGUAACUUGCACAUCAUCUACUCCCUCCAUUUUAGGUUAUAAGAUGUUUCAAAGUCAAACUGUUUUAAGUUUAAACAAGUAAUUUAUAUAAAAAAAUAGUAGGGGCAAUUCCAUCCAUGUCCACACUUUCAAAACCAAUUGUUGUUUUACCCCCGCUUUUUAGGGUUUGCAGUUUUACCCCUACUUUUUAAAUCUGAAUUAGCCGUCUAGCCUCACUUGUAACGGCCGUUUGGUGGGACCCACAAUUUAUGUUAAAGAAAUACAAAACGAAAUAAAACAAAGGUUGAGUCUGUGUCCUCCACCCCGUGCGUCGGUCCCUAGCGGCGAGUGCGUGUGCGUGGCGCAGCGGCGGCGGCCGCCGCGAGGGCGCGCGCGAGGCGGCAGAGGCGGGGAGGGCGUGCGCGAGGCGGCGGCCGCGGCCGCGGCGAGGGCGGGCGGGAGCGCGUGCCGCUCACAGGCGGUACCCAGCCGGAGGGCGGGCACGCGCGCGCGCCGCUCCCAGGCGUAACCAAGCCGGCAGCCGCGGCUCUGCCAUGAAUCGAUGAUGCUGCUCCUGCUUCGGUUGCGGCAAGUUAGGCGGUCGGUGGUCGAAGUCGAACCCACUACCGCUGCCGCUGCCAGAACGGCUGGAUUGGUGGCCAUGUGUUCUCCAGCGUUUGGUGCGUUGGUCAUCAACCGCUUCUGCUGCUGAGGAAGCAGGUCACCGGUGCUUGUUCGUGGACACUUUGUAAUGCUUGCUAUAUAUCGACUGUGCUAGUUGUAUCAAAAUUAUAUCGAAAUGUUGUUGAAAUUUUGUUCAAAUUUUGUAAUUGCCUAGUAUUUAUGAUUUUUUUUUGUUAAAGUACUAAAACAUCACAAGAGAUGCUCUUAUUUGAAUUAUUUAUAACAAUCACACAAGCUGAAAUCACGAAAUAGGAGCAAAAUCAUACCAAGCUCAAAAAAUAGGGGCAAAAAUACAAUAAUCGCCAAGGGUAUAAAUGUCAUUUUCUCUACCUCUAACACCGUUAAAACCAGCUAUUAUAAAUGGGGGUAGACGGCUUAUUCAGAUUCAAAAAGUGGGGGUAAAACUGCAAACCCUAAAAAAUGAGGGUAAAACAACAAUAUGCUUUGAAAGUGGGGGUAUGGAUGCAAUUGUCCCAAAAUAGUAAUAUUUUUGACCCAAGAUAAAUUUAUUAUAAAACUAUAUUUAAUUAUUAAUUUAAUAAAACUAAUUUGGUAAUGUAAAUAUUACUAUAUUUGUCUAUAACCUUAGUUAAAUUUAAAGCAGUUUGACUUUAACCAAAGUUAAAACAUGUUAUAACCUGAAACGGAGAGAGUAUUUCAGAGAAAAAUACUUUAAUAGUCCGGCUUAAGAACAGGUUAGUACUAAACAGCAAACAACUCCUACUAAUUAAGCAUUAGAAACAGAAUUACUGAAGCUUUUCCAUUCUUUAGGAGGAAAGAAACUGUCUUAGAUUGAGUGGCCUAGAAGCUAAACUGUAAACGUAUAUACUUUUGUCUUGCUCUUGAGAAAUUCAGAGAUAUUAACAUGUUCUCUCUCUAUAUAAUUUUACUACGUCAAUUAUCAUGCUUCUUCAGUCCUACUUGGUGUUAAUUUCAUUAUCAUUUCACAGUCUAUAUAAAACACACUACUACAAAAACAAUUUUUCAUAGCACCAUCCUUUUAUUUUUACUGAUCGGUUUAAUGACUACACACUUGUAAAGAUACUUGAGAGAGAUUCCGGUCAUCAUUUUCACUGGCUGUCACUUAAGAGAUCCACUUGCAAAAAUACCUCACUAGCGAAAAUUGGACGGCGUAUAAGGAGCACCGAUUGAAAAAAAAGUCGCUAUAUUAAAAAAUCACCCAUCUCACCCCUCCUAAAACUUCAUCUCCUCUUCCCCAAUCUCACCCCCUCCCCAACCCCCACACCCUCAGCCUCUCCUCUUCAUCUCAACAGCGACGGCGACUCAAGGGGUGCGGGCGGUGGACCUGGCCAUCGGAGUGCUACGGGUAGCUAACCCAACCGCGGGAGGGGCGUGGGCGGUAGACCUGGCCACCGGAGUGUCACGGAUGGUGGAUUCAGCCGUGGGAGGGGCACGGGCAACGGAUCCGUGGCCGGGAGGUGGGCAGCAGCGGUGACGGUGGAGGGGACGAAUCCAGUGGUGAGCGAUGCUUGAGAUUGCUAGAUACGCCUCCUCGACAGUGAAGAAGUGGGGCGGUUGCGGUGGAUCUGGCGAAGGUUGCCACGACGAUGAUGACGACAGCUGGUCCUUGAGAAGGUUUCGGCGGCUCCUCCACCCACUCCUCUCUCCUAGAUCCAGUAGGCGGCAGCUCAGGGCCAUGGCGGUGGAUCCGGAGGCCUGGGGUGGUGAGGUCACCAUAGGCGGUUAAGCUCGGUCGUGGGAGGUGGGCGGCGGAUCCUGUGAUGGCUCAGUGCACGGGCGGUGCAUCUGGUGGCGAAGCUCAGGCGUGGGCGGCGGAUUUAGGGAGCUCCAGAUCCUUUGGGUGGCGGCGGUGCUCGGUCUUCGUCUCGGUGAUGGCGACGAUUACCGGGAGCGACAACGAUCCACCGGUUAGUUCGUUUGGAGAUGGGGACUGAUCCAAUUGAAAACCCGUGAAUAGAAAUUUGUGAUUGUAAAUUGUGAUGAUUUAUGGAUUUGUUAACUUUGGGAAUAAUAUAUGUGGAAUUUUUUUAACUUUGAGGAUAACUUAUGUGGAUUUUGGCAUUGAUGAGCGGAUUCUUUUUUGGUGCUGAUGGUUGUGGAACGAGUGGUGUCGCUCUGUCAUUUUUUCAGGACUCGCCAGUAUUAUCGUAGGCAAACAAUAUGACGUAGCCGCUUCUGCAAAUUCAUUUUUACCGGAGGCUACCAUAUGAAGACCGCUAGCGAAAAUGGAUUGGCGCUGGCAGUUGGCGUAAUAUUUAAUUAUCACAGGCCUACUUUGGUUGCCAUAAAAAAUCAUUCUUAUAGUAGUGACAUUCCCAUCACUUUCCAAUAAUUAAACGCUUGCAAGCAUAGUAGAUUUUUAUGGUUGUAAUUUACUCCCUCUGGUCAUAAACAUUGACGUUUAGGAUAAGAUCUUUAAAUUUUUACCUUCAACUUUACAUUAGAACAAAUAAGUUUUCUGCAUCAUGCUAAAUUGAAUUUUAGAAUUAGAACACCAAUCUCUAUCAAACAACGGGAGUAUAAUUUUUAGUUUUUGUUUCCAUAGAUGCAAAUCCUACUUUAUAUGGAACAGAUUUGGCAUACAAUUCACAACUCCCCUCCCCUAUCUUUUGAAUUGUAUUUUGCACAUAAUUAUAUCAUUUUGAUUAAUAUACAACUUUAUAAACCUGGAUUUACCACGAUCUCAUGGUAAUUUUGUUUCUUUUCCUCCUUUUACUUUGAUUAACAUGAGAAUAAUUUAUAGACCUUUAGAACGAACUUGUAGUAUCUCUUUUUAGCCGUCCUAAAAAUAUAUAUCAGAUAAAUUUAUAGAAUCUAAUAAGAUUAUGAUAUUAUUUUUCAAGAAAAAUCUAUGCAUACCCUUCUUUUCACUAAGUACUAUUGUAUAAUACUGAUUUCAGAAGUCAUUUGAUCGAAUCUUAUACUGAACAUCAAAUAUCAUUAGUGGAAGGAAAUCCGAUCUUACUAUGAAGUUACAACCCACUAAAUUUUAAAGCUUAACAUGCAAAGAUACCACAUCAUUAUCCACUAACAAACCCACUAAAUUCUAAAUCUCAACAUACAAAGAUAUCACAUCAUCAUCCACUAACAAUUAUUACACCUUAAAACAUCAUACCAAUAUGCUAUAUUAUCUAUAAUUCUAUAAUUUAUUAUAUUUUAGAGUUUUAAAAUGCAAGCAUGUUAAUAUUUCAAUAUAUCUUCAUCGUUUUUUUAUAAUAUCCUAUAUACCUAUAUAGUUCAUCAUCAGUUAGUUAAUGUAGUUAUUUUUUUUUCUCUCAUUAAGUUAUAUUACAGCAAUUGUUUUUAGCACUUAGAUGAUUAAUCUGUGGUUAAAAUUACCGACUUCAUUUUCUUCUCUCAUUAAGCCAUAUCACAUCAAUUGUUUUUGGCCCUUAGAUGAUUUAUCUAUGGUCCAAAUUACCUACCUUCUUUUCUUCUUUCAUAAAGCUACAACAUCUUAUUUUUACAUUUGAAUCAUCAUUAUAUAUGCUACUUAAAUUAUCAUAAACUAUAUCAAUUUACAUAAGUUUAUAUCAUCUAUCUAUCUUAUACAUUAUUUAUACUAAUUAAUAUCAUACUAAACUCCCGCAGCAACGCUCGGGGUUUCAUCUAGAACUAUUUAAUGUGUGCAUGCAUAUAUGCCAUUUGCAUUUAACUAUUUUUCGUAAUUCUAAAAGUACGAGUUUCUUGUACUUAUUGCUUUUCUAAGGUAAAUUGUAGGGCACAACAUCUUAGCGACUAAGAUACAAUUCAAAAUAAUAAAUUGAAAAUUGCACAGUUUUAUUGUAAUAACUUGAUAAAUGGGUGUUAAUUAGCUUGUGGAUGAAAUCCCAAGAAUCACGCUUUCGAGUGACAAAUGAGUUGGUUUACGAGAUGGUUAGGCAAUGAUAUAAGGUGUAGCGAAUUCUUAAAAUACAAGCGUGUUAUGGCUUCGUGUGACGAAUGACAAAUGGGUGUGUUAGCUUGAUUCAACAAGUAUUACGGCCGGUUGAUCAUAAAUUUUCCAUAGGCCGGGCCAGGUAAACACAUGCGCAUAAAUUACUCUAGGUCGUCGUCGUUUGCACACUCUGAAUACAAGGAAUUACAUCAUAGUAAUGAGCCGGCAGGGUGGCUACCUGAGGUCAUCGCGAGACCUAAUUGGAUCCUCCCCUGAUAUUCAUUUGGUAGCACUCUCUGAAGGAGUCAUAAACUCAUAACAAGUAUGGUAGAUAGAUAUAUAUCUAUAGAAGCAUUAUUAUAACGCAUUUUAUUAUAGAUCAGCACAAAUUACAAUACUACAAUACCUGACACGACCCUACGACUGACGACACCAAAGGCACGGAUUGUUGCGUACGUAUAGCCCUUGUAUAAGAGCAUAUACAUAGUAGCACUAGCCGUGUGUACACAUGUACACACAGCAGAGAUCGAUGCAAUCCUUUAUUGACCAAAGCAAACAACUAUAGGGAGAAGUAGCUGGACAAGCACAUCGUCAUUCAUGUAUAUAUAGCAGAUAUAUAUUUGUAUAAGGUUUACGUGCGUUUAAUUUGCCAUCGAUCCAUUCAUCGUCUUCAUGAGCAGCACGAAUGGCACUUGCCCCAUUUACAGCAUGGACCGCUGUCGCCGCUGCAGUACUCGUAGCACUUGUCAUAGUGGCAGCAGCCUUUACACUUGCAAGGCCCGCACUUCUUGCCGUCAUGAUCGCCGUGAUCUGCAUAGAUGGGAUCUCGAAUAAUUAAGCUUAUUACACGGAAAUUGAUUCAUGUAUAUGGUGAUACGGAGAGACUGCUCCACACCUCCACCUCCAUCUGAUCUUUUGGAGCUACAGUCCACCUAAACAGUUUCAGCUCUACCUAUUUCCUCCAUCCCUAAAUAUAAGGGGUUUUGGUUGGAUGUAACGUAUUCUAUAGUACAAUGAUUCUGGAUAUGGAAGUCUGUCCAGAUUCGUUAUACUAGGAUGUACCACAUACAACCAAAAUCUCUUAUAUUUAGAAACUGAGGGAGUAAAAUAGAAGCGGAGCUGGGUGGACCGCUCUUACAAAAUAAACUAAAAAUGUGAAGAUGGGUUUAGGCUGCUCUACAACUUCACUCCAGACCCAACUCUUAGAGUUAAAUUUAUUAGUUGAAACUCUACCAAAUCGACCUGGAGUAUAUUAUUAUAUAAUGUGUGUGUACAUAUAUAUAUAUAUAUAUAUAUAUAUAUAUAUAUAUAUAUAUAUGUAUAUAUGUAUAUAUGUAUGUAUAUGUAUAUGUAUAUGUAUAUGUAUAUGUAUAUGUAUAUAGGUAAAUUAACUGGUGCUACAUGGAGUGUGGGCUCCAAGAUUCAAAUUGAGUAUAUACCCAAUUUGAAUUAGUAUGAAAUUUUUUUAAAUGUUUAGAUAUGAACAUUAACUUCUUUACUAACAGGUUCAAACAAGUUUGAACUGAGUUUAAACUUUUUUUUUUUGUUAGAUUUUGGUUCUAGGUAUAUAACAUCCAAACAUAUAAUUUGUUAGGUAUGUAAUAAUGAAUUGUGAAAUAAAGUUGAGUUUGAGUGGUUUUGUUGUUAGGUAUUUGUAUGAAUCAAAUUCAUAUACCUAGGUAUAUACUCACAAUUUGAAAAUUUUUAAAAAUUUGAGAGAAUUUGUGUGUUUUAUACCUUAGAGCCCGGGCACCAUGGAGUCCCAUAUGUGUAUCCUAUAUAUAUAUAUACGUAUAUACACAUAUGUAUAUGUGUAUAUAAGUAUAUAUACAUAUAUGUAUAUCUGUAUAUACACAUAUACAUAUAUGUAUAUGUGUAUAUAUGUAUAUGUGUAUAUACACAUAUACAUAUAUGUAUAUAUACGUGUAUAUAUAUAUACGUAUAUACGUAUAUACGUAUAUAUAUAUAUAUAUACAUAUAUACAUAUAUACAUAUAUAUAUAUAUACACGUAUAUAUGCGCGUACCAAAAAAAACGCAUAUAUAUACAUCAUAUAUAUACACCAGAAAAGAGAGGAAAGAUAGAAACGCAUACCACAAAAACAUCAAAGCAUCAUGAGCAAGUGUUAAGCAAUGCAAGUAGAAGCUAAUAUCGAACACGAAGGUAUAUUAUAAUCUCUCUCCGUCUCAUUGUAAGUGCAUAUAUGGUUUUCUGCGUUCAACUUUGGCCGUCCGUUUUAUUUGAAAAAAAAAGUAAAAACAUAAGUCGCGAGUAAAGUAUUAUUCAUGUUUUAUCAUCUCAUAAGAAAACAAAAAUACUAAUUAUAAAAAAAAUUAAAUAAGACGAAUGAUCAAGGUUGGAUGCGGAAACUGAUGGUAGCACCUAAAACGGGACGGAGGGAGUAUUAUAUACGUAUUGAUGAGUAUCGAUCGAUUAAAUAUUCGAUGUUAGUUCGAGUUUAAUUAUUCCUUGAUGUUAUAAACUGAAUUAUGCAUAUGUAUAUAUGUAGUGUAGAUAGUGGUCAUUACCGGCAGAGGCGACGUCGACGAUGGCAGAUGCAGCCACCAGCAUCAGGAGAGUGAACACAACGAAAGCCUUGUUGGACGCCAUUUUUGCAAGCUAGCUAGUUGAUUAAUCAGCUCCCUCGAUCUCACUUACGAUCAUGUGUUUUGUGUAGUAGAUGGCAUGCGUGAACUUGGCCUAUUUAUAGGCGGAAAAUGGCUUCUGUUCCAAGGUACGAUCAGCCUUUAGUCGAUCCCGUUGACGUUAUCACACAUGGACCGAUUCAUGGCGAAGAAAUAUUAAGUUGACUGUACGUAGCAUUCGUACGACAUUAAUUAGUGUGUGAUUAUUUUUAGUCAGCUAGUUCAGAACGCACGGCGUCUAUGUGAUAAGUUGUGCUUAGUGCGUAUUGUAAUUAAACCUUACUCCCUCUGUCUCUAAAUAUUUAACGCUAUUGAUUUUUUUAAAUAUAUUUGACCGUUUAUCUUAAUAAAAAACUUUUCUGUAAUAUAAAAAACUAUAUAUAUAUACAUAAGGAAAAAGAACGAAUUACCCCCCUAAACAAUCAUGACAGUACGAAUUACCCCCUAAUCUCAAAACCAGACAUUUGAUACUCUAAACUAUUGAAACCGGAUAAAUUACCCUCUUGGCUCAACCCGGAGUGGUUUUGCUCCUAUGUGGUACACACGUGGCACCAGGGUGGCGAUCCAAUCACAAAGAAAUGUUUAGAAACUAUGGGCCCACUUGUCAUCUACUCCUACCUCACCCCUCUCUCUCUCUUCUCUCUCAUCCGCUAGGGGGCACAGCGGGCACGCCAAGGAGGGCGGGCGGCGACGGCGAACGCGAAGCACAGUGUCAGCGACCGCGUCCGCAGCAGCGACGCACAAGUCACCCAAGAUGGAGCUUUGCAGGAGGCGGACGGCUGCAGUGUGGUUCAGGGUGAGUGAUGUCUAGUUUUCAGGUUCAGGGACGAAAUUCGGCUGACGACGAUAGUUCAGGGGUGUAAUUAGUAUUUUUUUAAAAUGAUAGAAAAAGAAUUAAUAAUUACUUAAUUUUUUUAAUAAGACGAACUGUCAAACAUGCACUAACUAGACAUAUUUAUAGGUGUAAAUGAAUCUAUGAGCCAGGUCCAUUUGAGUAUAGGAAAGGUUUAUGUCCUGUUUAGUUCCCACAUAAAAAUUUUACACCCUAUCACAUCGAACGUUUGAGCACGUGCAUGAGGUAUUAAAUAUAGGCCAAAAAAUAACUAAUUACACAGAUUACGACUAAUUUACGAGACGAAUCUUUUAAGUCUAAUUGCUCCAUGAUUUGACAAUGUGGUGCUACAAUAAACAUUUGCGAAUGACGGAUUAAUUAGACUUAAUAAAUUAGUCUCGCUGUUUACUGACGGAUUCUGUAAUUAGUUUUUUUAUUAGUGCCUGAAUACCACAUGCGACACCCUAUAUAAUACCCGAUGUGACACGUCAAAACUUUACACUCCUGUAUUUAAACAAUCCCUUAGUUUAGUGCCAGUUGGCAUUAUCAUAUUCAUAACGACCGACUCAAUGGUGAAGAAAUUUUAAGUUUGACUCCAUAGAAUUCAUUCGACGUUAAUUAGUGCCAUCUGAGCCGUCAGGUUGAAAAGCACUCACGGCAUAUUAUAUGUAUGAUGCAAACAUGCUUACUGUAUUGAAAUAUAUGACACAGGACUGAUCUACAAAAGUAAAACUAGAUAAUGAACUGCACCAAUGCUAAUGAAUUACAACAUAUUCGGUAAAAAGAAUAUCAUUAGUAUAUGCUAUAUGAAAAUGUCAAAUUUCUCUAGGAAUAGGCCAGUUAGCGUACACGUGAGCAUGGAACACAACUAAGUCAGCGAGAGCUCCAUAUUAGCUGGGGAAUAUAUACGUCUAGCUAUCGGCACUGCAAUCUAGCACCACCUAUCACCAUGCUGGCAGAUCUUAGUAAAACCUACAAAAAAUCUCAUGUAAAGGUUCCACGAAAUUGAAGAGUUGACAUUAAGUUUGAUUGCUGUGGGUUUGUUUGUUGAAAGUUUCUUAUACUGAAUGGGAAGUGUAUUACUUUAAUUGAAAGUUUCCAAUCAAUCUGAACAGAAGAAGUUGUACACUGGAUAAGAAGUUGUCAAUUCCCCGUAACCAUUUUUUUCCCUCGUGAUGAACGUACUUGUUGCUGUAGGUUUUAUUGGUGAAUGUUUUCCCUCGUGGAUCUUACUGAAUACUCCAUCUAUCCCAAAAUAUAUAAAUAAAUUUGGUUGGAUGGGACACAUCCUAACACUAUGAAUCUGGACAGGCUUCACUGCUCAUAUUCGUAGCAUUCUCAUCCAACCAAAAUCGUUUAUAUUUUAGAAUGAAAUGAGUAUAUAUAGUUUACCCUUGAUCUUGAUGUAACAGCAGAUGUGAUUAUGUUGGUGGCAUAGCUAGCAGCUUAUUGAGAUCUCAUAGCAUUUGCUCCCUCAUGUGAAUAUAGAGUGAAUUGCCUUAAGCUUUUGGGUUAAACUGGUCGGUGCAUGUAACUCAAUAUAGUAUCAGAGCUAGAAAUCUCAAGUUCGAAUCCUGACUAACGCAUAAUUAAAUAAAAAUUGCAGCACACUUCUAUUGCACGCUAGAGGCUUGAGGGGGCCUUGUGUGAGGGGUUUGUUAGACAAAUGUAUAUCCAGAUUCAUAGUAGUAGGAUGUGUCACAUUCAAUGCUAGAUUGGUUUUUUUAUAGGACAGAGUGAGUAGAUUGUUGUUGCAUCAACAAGCCGAGAAAAUAUAUAUAAUUCUAGCUUCGUUAGGCACUGUCAGGGGCUCAAAGUUUAUGAGUGAAAUCCGGCUUUGGCAAUCUUUAGCGGAUCAAGGCACGCGACGAGGGAAGCCCGAAGCCGAGGUUGCUGGCAAUGCCUACAAAGUUGGAAGUCGGGGACGAAAGAAGAAGCAGCAGCUUGGGGCACAGGAGGUCGUCGAUCGCCAUCAUACCCAGGUUCUCAUAUUUACGGUUAAUUAUGAGAUAAUAUAUCCACCAACAAUAAAAUAUUUAUGAUAACUUCGUUACUCUCAAAGUAUGCCGGCGAUAGCAGAAACACCUCGACAUCACACCGGUCUUUGUGGGCAUCGUAACGAAGCCUUGAAUUGGAUAUGUUCGAUCUCGAUGGAUAUGGAUGCCGCUGGCCCAUCACAGUAGGCCCAUUUUAAGGCCAUUGCCUGACAAAACACAACAAUCCAUUUGGGUCCUCAGCUGGGUUGAAACCAUUUGGCCAAUCGUUACAAUAAGUCCACUUUGACUCCCUGAAAAGUGACCGGAAUCUAAUUGAUGACCCUAAACCGCAAAACCGGAUAUCUCAACCCCUAAACUAUUGAAACCGGUGCAAUUUGACUCCCUCGGCGGUUUUGAGGGCGGUUUCGCUGACGUGGCGGCGAUGCGGAUUUGCGGAUGGAUGCGGGGAGUCAAAACCGCCAAGGGAGUCAAAUUGCACCGGUUUCAACAGUUUAGGGGUUGAGAUAUCCGGUUUUACGGUUUAGGAUUAUGAAUUAGAUUCCGGUCACUUUUUAGGGAGUCAAAGUGGACUUAUUCCCCAAUCGUUCGUUGGGGGAAUAAGUUCACAGGAGGUCCCUCAACAACGUGAUUUUUUUUAAGGUCCCUUAACUACAAAAUCAGAAAUGUGUACCCCUAAACUCACUCAAACCGUUCAAAGGAGGUCCCUUGGCAGUAUUUUUGCCCGGUUUUGCUGAUGUGGCAUCGUAGUCAGCAAAAAUUUUAAAAAAAUGUAGGACCCACUUGUAAGUGAGAAAAAUGUGGGAUCAACCAUCCUAGUUAGCAAUCUUCUUCUUUUUUCCUUUUUCUCUUCUUCUCUUUCGGUUUUAGAGGGGGAGCGGCAACGGCACGUGGUCGGAGGCAAGCAGAGCAGCGGCGUCGGCGGGCAGGCGCGGCUGCAGAGUGUCGGUGGCGGCAGGCGGCGAAAAGCGGCGAGCGAGCGUGGUCGUAGAGGGCGAGCGGCAGCGAGCGGCGGUGCGCGGCCGAAGCAGGCGGAGAGGUGGCGUCAGCACGCGGCCGAAGCAGGCGGAGAGGUGGCGUCAGCACGCGGCCGGAGCAAGCGGAGCGGCGGCGUCAGCUGGCGAGCGCAGCUGCGGCAAGUGGCAGGUGAGCGGCUGCUCCGGGCGCGGGCGGAGCAGAGGGGCAGGGGACGCGGGGGCAUGGCGGGCGAGCGGCGGCGAGGUGCCGCCUCUUUCCCCUUUCCCGCCGGCCUCAUCUUCCCCCACUUUGCCCGGCCUCUUCUCCCUCUCUCCAACAGGGCGCGGGGAUAAGAAGUACAGUCGUUGUCGUGAAGCCGUGAAGCCGCUCGCGUGCAGUGCGCUCACAUCGUUGCCGUGAAGCCGCUUGCGUGCAGCGCCCCGCAUCAUACCGCUCCGCGCUGCUCGUCCACCGCCACCGCCGCCGCCGGUACGCGCUGCCCCCGGUUGCUGCCGCCACCACCUCAAAGCCCAUCCUUAAGGUACGUAGGGGGAUCGGCAGCUGGCAGCGGGUGAGAGUGGCGACAGCGGCAGGGGAGGUCGGCCGCUCUACCCACAGCCCACCGCCGCUCCGCCCGCCACCCGUUGCCGGGCUCGCUUACCGCCAGCCUCCUAGGCCCACCGGCUCUCCGCCCACCGCCCACAUCCGCGCUUGCCCAUCGCUGCCCGCCGUUAGCAAAGAGAGAAGAGAGAAACGAGAAGAGAAGGAGAAGAAAAGAAAAGAAAAAAAAUGUGCAGCUGCCAUGUGGGCCCCACAUAAUUUUUUAAAAUUUUUUUGCUGACUAGGAUGCCAUGUCAGCAAAACCGGACAAAAAUACUGCCAUCGGACCUCCUUUGAAGAGUUUGAGUGAGAUUAAGGGUGCACAUUUCUGGUUUUAUGGUUAAGAGACCUAAAAAAUUCUUGCCGUUAAGUUGAGCGACCUCCGGUGAACUUAUAGUUGGGUAGCUACCAAUCCAACCUGGCCCAUCAGAAUUUGGGUCGGUACUAAUGGUACCUGUUCAAUUUGGCCCAUUAGAAUCUUUAACUUGUUUACCAUCGGAUCCAAUUAGCCCAUUAGAUCUCGAUUUAAGAAAGGGAAUGAGUUCACUUUAGGUCCCUAUAUUUGUCGCCCAGUCUGAUUUUCAUCGCUGAACCGUAAAACCGGAUACAACGCAUCCCUCAACUUACAAAACCAGUGCACAUAACAUCCUAAGGCGGUUUGGAUAGUGGUUUUGGCUGACGUGGCGCCUACGUGGCUGGUUUGACUAGUUCUCCGUCCCACGUGGCAUUGACGUAGCGCUUACGUGGCAAUUAUAUCUCGAAAAAAUAAUAAAACCGCGGGCCCACAUGUCAGCUACACAAAAAAAUAAUAAUUUAAAAAUGGUGGGGCCCAUGUGGGCCCACAUCUCAGUUACAAAACAAAAUAAAUAGGGUGGGCCCCACGUGUCAGUCUGUAGCGAUUUCUUUCUCCCCACUUGACCAUCUCCUCCAAUCUAGUAAUCCCCAUCCGCGGACGGCAGUUGCUGCGGUGCUGGCAGCGCACAGCACACGGAGGGUAAGCGGAGGGGAGUGGGGGCGUGGCCAGGCUCUCGGCCUCCGGGGCGCAGAGCUGCCGCGGCGUCAUCUGCUCCGGGCAGCGGCGCAGCGUGGCUAGCCGCCAGGGCCCAGGGGCUCAGCCGCUCAGGCGAGCGGCCACGCACGCGCAUGAGCGUAGCGCAGGCAGAGCAGAGGAAGGGGCAGGCAAGGCGGAGGGCACAACAGCAGUGCAACCGUGCAGCACCAAGCAGCAGCAACAAGCAAGCAAGCUAACUAGCCAAGCUUCCAUCACUCAAGCAGAUUGAAAUUGUGAACUAAUAGCUCUGUAUCUUAUUAACCUGAAAUAAUGGACUAUAAUUCGAUGUUUGCUUCAAGAACCUACAUCCACACCUUUACAUACUCACCAGCGAGCGACGGUCAAAGAGGCGGUGCUGGUACGGUGGAGCCAUGGGAGAGGAGCGGCGUGUGACUGCGACUCGGCGGCAACCGGCUCGCCGGCCUCCUAUUCCCACUCUCCCGCCAGCACAGCCGGCCGCCGUGGUAUCCUCCUCCUCCUCCGCGGUGGCGGCGGUGGGCGGUGUCGAGCUCCCGUCCGAGCCAAGCGGAGGGCGCCAGCCUCGUCGUCGUCGUCUUCCGGCGCGCAGCGGCGCGAAGCUGGCUGGGCGGGGCGGAGCGGGCGGGCGAACGGCGGCGCGAAGCCGACGGGACGGAGUGGGGCAGCGGCGGGCGGACGCGCCGGCGGAGUCUCCUUGAGGUCGUCGUCCCCGGCACCGCCGAGACUGUGGCCAGAGAGGGGAUAGGGGAGGAAGAAGAGGUGGGGGUGAGAAUGACAUGCGGGGCCCACGUGGGCCCCACCAUUUUUUUAUUUAUUUGUGUGUGAAACUGACAUGUGGGUCCCAUGGGGUUUAAUAUUUUUUUAUCGAAUUGCCACGUCACCGUCACGUCAAUGCCACGUGGGAUGAAGACCUAGUCAAAGGAGCCACGUAUGCGCUACGUUAGCCAAAACCGCUCUCCAUACUGCCGUGUGCCGAGGGACCUCGUUUGUCCGGUUUUUGUAAGUUGGUAAGUUGGGAGACGGGUUGUAUCUGGUUUUGCGGUUAAGGUAUGAAAAUCGGACCGACCAACAAAUAGAGGGAGCUAAAGUGAACUUAUUCCUUAAGAAAGCCACUUUGAAUCCCGCAGGCCCGGUCCACGUGAAAUCUGUGCCCCGAUCUGAAUCGCCUUCUUAAUCUCUACAUGUGCGAUUUUGAAGUGAUAGCGUGCGCGAUUUUCUCUUGAACAUGCAUUGCGGGUCUUAUUUGUCUGCCUCAAACUUUUGUUUUUUUAUCUGAUGCAUGCCUUCUUUUUACUUGUACUACCACUUGAUGCAUUGGCGAUAACUGAUAAUUCAUCACGCAGAUAGAUGAAGAUGAAUCGUCCAGCACUCCGAUGUAUACAGGUCACAGACCACUAUGCACAAAUUUCACUUGUCCAAUGUUAACAUCCAUGGGGCGCAUUUGACUGUGGUCUUAUGGAUUACUUCUUCCACAAUGUGCUCACGACGUAUGUAUGAUAUACUAUGACAGUGCGUGGUUUGGAUUAUUUCUCCGAAACUGCUAUUAACUUGGACAAUCAAUUGUUUAAAUUUCUGGUAACGACGUCAUUAGUUCGUAGAUUAAGGGGCUCGAAAGGUAUUUUAGGAGUGUAUUAUAAAGGCCACAUCAUGAUCAAUGAUGGUAUCGUUGAAGUGGAUUUGGUUCUGGUGCAGUACCUAGUGUGACACCAACUCUUUGACGCAAAUUAAUCCAAGGGUCUAAAAUAUACAAAGUACUGUUUACACGUCAAAAAAAUUGUUGAGGUAAUAUAGCAUCAUAUCUCAACCGUUCACGAAAAAAAUGAUAGCAUAGAUUAUGUGCAGUUUCUAAAUUGCAGUCAUAGUUAAAACUGUACUAGAUCUCAAUUCCUGGAUCCGGUAUAGUCCCUAGUGUGACUGCAACAUAAGCAGUCAUACUUGGACUAUUUGAUGCAAAUCUAAGGGUCCAAAAUCUACUAAGGACUGUUCAUAUGUAGAAAAAACGGUGGAGGCACUUUAGUGGUAGCACUAUAACAUCAGAUCUAAGGGGUUGUUUGGUUGGCAUACUCACAUUACCAAAACUUGCCAUACUUCAUUUAGCUAACAUGCCUAACAUGUGGCCAACAAAAUUGAAGCUACACUUCAGCCAUAGGAGAGUAAACUUGCCACACUUUUAUGUGCCAAUGACAUGUGGGACCCACAUCAUGGAGAAAGAAUGUUGCCAAAAGUGUGGCACCAACCAAACGAAUGCUUAACUAAGUCAAACCUGGCUAACUUGAGUUGUGUCAUGAUGAGGCAAAUUGUGGUAGUGAACCAAACAACCCCUAAGCCAUUCACUAAAAAAAUGAUGGCUGAGAUUACGUGCAGUUCCUAACUUGCAGCCGUAGUUAGGACUGUACAGGAUCUCAAUUCCGUUGAAGUUUGAAGUUCUCUGAACUGGCAGCUCCAUGGAAUGUGAUUUGCAUAGUACAAUCUACAUCAGUUUUUAUAUGGUUAGGCCUUAAUUAGUUGGGUAAAAUUUUUAGGUUUGGUUGUUACAUCAGAUAUACGGACAUAUAUUUGAAGUAUUAAACUAGUCUAAUAACAAAACAAAUUACAGAUUCCGACAGGAAACUACGAGACAAAUUUAUUAAGCCUAAUUAAUCCGUUAUUAGCAGAUGUUUACAGUAACACCACAUUGUCAAAUCAUGGCGUAAUUAUGCUUAAAAGAUUCGUCUCACAAUUUACACGCAAUAUGUAUAAUUUUUUUUCCUACAUUUAAUACUCUAUGCAUGUGUCCAAACAUUUGAUGUGACAGCGUGAAAAAUUUUGUUUUGAUAACUAAAUAGGGCCUUAGUUUAUGGCUUGUUGAUGGAUUGACUCUUUAUUUAUAGAAGGUUGUCCCCAUCUGAAGCAAGAAUAUAGUCUGAAUAUCGAGUCUAUAAUCCUCAAUGCACUGUUUUUUUUCGAACGGCCAAACAGGUUGCUUGGCGUUAUAUUGAUAGAAGGAGAUUAAGUACACAGCAAAGCUGAAAAAAAAAUGAAAAACUGUACAUUGCUGACUGCAAACAUGCUUGCACGUCAGACCACCUUGCACCUCAUGGCAACAAUCUCGCAACGUGCUUUGCGUCAGCCAAACUCCAGCAGCCCAACUCGUCCUGAAUUUGGUUGAUUAUUUGAUGGGUUGUCGCCUCCUUGCCUCUGAAGGUUCUCACAUUUCUUUCUCUCCAGAUUUCUGUAACGCUCCGCUUUUCGUGAGACGUUAAAAAUUAAUUCUGCAAAAUCCUAAUUGCGAAAAUUUCGUUCUUUGUGUGCGAGUCUAAGUCGUGCCAUGGAUCUCAAUUCAAUCUCUCAUUGUUCCCUCUCGUCGCUAUCAAAAUCGCCCACCUCAAGAUUUCAAUUCCGAUUCAAGUCUCCAAAUUUCAAUCGCCUGCUUUGAAUCCUUGCCGAAUAUUCGCUCCGACUACAAAAAUAUUCAAUUCCCGUUUUGAAUCCAUUCCUUGACUCCACCCUAUGUUCCUAAAUAUCAUCCUUGAAUUCAAACCUAAACUCCAAAUUCUCUCCAAUUCAAUCUAUCUGAAAAAGUCUAGUUUGCCUCCCUCUGGCUUGUGGGCCGUUUCUUCUCGGCCCAUUUUCCCCCUGCCUAUCCCCUCCCUCAGCCUCGCACGUGUGUUGCACGCGCCGAGCCGAGCCGAGAGAUCGCUCUCUCGUUCUCUCUCUCUCUCUCCCGCUCGCCCUCGCUCCUCGCCGCGCCAGCGCCUCGCCGAUUCGAACCGCCACCGCCUUCGCGCGCGCUCGCGCGUGGCCGACCGGCCAGUCACCGCCACCGUCAGCCCUGCCGCACCUGCGCCGCUCGGCCCCGCACCCCCCUGCGACGCGUGCCCGGCCGCUCCAAGCCGCGUGCGUCCAACUCCCGGAGGCAGAGCUCUCUCUCCCUCCUCCUUUCUCCCAGAAUGGCAUGGGCAGAGCCCCCUUUCCUCCCUCCCCUUUUGCUUUUUCCCCGACCGGCACCAUCGCCUCCUCUUCCGCGCCCGUGACCACGCUCGACCGCCAUCUCCCGCCCUUGACCGCCUAGGUCGGUUUCCUCCCAAACCGACUUCACCACCCCUAUAAAGCCCAAAACCGAGCCGCCCCAUCUCCCUCUCGUUCAUCCCCUCUCUACCGCUGCAGUGCCAUCGCCGCCUUGCUGCCGCCGUCCUCGCCUCCCUCCGCCAUCGCGUGUGCCGGGAAGCCGGAGUGCGCGAGGAGCCGAAGAGGACUCCGGCCACCCCUCUUCUUCCUCUUCCCCAGCCCAAGGCCGGAGAACUCGCCCCGCGCCGUCGACCGCCCAUCACUGCCCGCCCGGCUCGGUAGUGCCUCCUCCCGUUCCCCUUCCUCGCUCUCCCUCGCCUCCUUUAGCUCGCACAGAAGCUCGGUAGCCGUCCCGAACGCGCAUAGACGCCGCCCCAAUGCCCGCUGCCGCCCGGCAUGGCCACGCCGCCAUUGCCGCCCGCUCCCGGAGGCCGCCUCUCGUCGUUGGCCCUCCUCGGUGCCUCUCCUCCCCAUCCGGCGCCGGAAACGGAUUCCCCGAGCCCCGGAGAUGCUCCCACCCCUUUGAAUCGAACUCCCGUCGCUCCGGUGAAAUUUCCCCUUUUGCUUGCCGCCGGUGGCCGCCGUCGCAAUCCGCCGCCCUUGACCUCUCCCGGCGCGAUCCGAGCCGUUGGCUCGUCCUCUCUUGCGCCGCUCGCCAAUCCGGUGUGCUCCCCCUUGACCAUAGUCAUCUUGUCGAGCUCCGGAGAACUCGGCCGCCGCCCGCCGUCCAUUUUCCCGGCCGGCCUCGUCUUCCUCCUCCCGCCGACCCGCGUGGCUGCCGCCACGUCGGCGCCACCUCGGACGCGACCGGGUCAAGGCUGACCCCGGUCCGCCGCUCCCCUCCGUCCCGCUCGCGCGCGCGGUCCACCGCGAGCCGUGAGGCUGUGUGUGGGCCCGCCACACCCGCGUCCAUUGCAAGCCGCGCGUGCGCCGCGCCUCCCCCUCCCAAACCCUAGCGUGCUCCGCGUGCACCUCGCUCAUGGUGAGCCGAGCCGCCGACAAGCGGGUCCCACUCGGGACCACGCGAGGUGAGCCCGGCCCACCGGCCCUCUCCCUCCCUCACUCUCCCCGCGCCCCCUUGGGCCGCCUCUCCGGGCCGGCCGGCCCAUUAGUUUGGCCGAGCCGUGCCUCUCCUCUCGGGCCGCACCCAAGCCGCCCGAGGAAGUCUAAAUCAUAUCCCUCCUUCAAUUUCUUUCCAAAAAGGGUUUAACAAAUUAUUAAAUCCUUUUUCCUUUAGACAGAAAAUUCCUUAAUCCUUAGAAAAUCCAUAUCUUCUCAACCGCUCAUCCGAUUGACUCCGUUCCACUUCCAGUAAUUCCGUAAAAUUGAGAUCUAUUUAAUGGCACUAUUAUUUAGUCUAAAUAGGGUAUUUUUCUUGGUCUUUUGUUUAGGUUUUGAUUGUUUGCGUAUAGUUGCGGUUACCGGAUUUUCGUCGAUCGCGGGUUUUCUCGAAGAUUCGUGAAGCUUCGUGAAGACCUUGAGCAAGGCAAGUCACCCUUUGAUCAAUUGCUCCUAUAAUUGGAAAAUCAUUAUUAUUUUGUUUGCAACUUGUAUUAUUAGAAUCACACACUUAACUUGCUUGGCCUCGGUUUGCAUGCCAAACCGACGGACCUACCUAGUAGUCGCACCAAUUCCUGUAGGCUGUACUACCCUGAUUCCUUGUCGCUCCACCCUUGUGGUACUUCGGUAUCCGUGCUCUCUAAGCGCGUAUACCUAAUAUCCCACAUACACCGUUGAUUGUCGAAAACUUGGGAAAUGGGUUUGUGAAGCCUUCAAAACCCGACAUGUGGUGUCGGUGUGUUCGAAAAUAAAAUGAAUUGUGAAAACUCGCGAUGCGGGGGUUGUGCCUAUGUGGCACUGUCCCGUAUUCGCAUAUAAGGACCGAUUCCUGUGGGAAACUCAUCGAGCAUAAUCAAAGUGCAACCACAAGGUGGAAUGGGACACCCUGGCUAAGUAACUAGUCGGUUCAGGGAAACCUCGCAUGCCAAUAGUUGGGAACGCCGGGGCGGGGUCGGACAAACCGGGUUCAUGGUAAGGCAAGGACAAGAAGCUUGCUGACUUACCGAUCAAGGUGGUUGGAGUUUGAUUUGUGAAUGCCUAAAAUGGCCUAUACUUACGUGAGGAUUUGAUCCUUCUAUGUGGCAUGAGGUAACCCUGGGUCGGCUUGGGAAAGGCUUUGUCGCGAACCUCUGACACCGGCCAGUGUCUGGAGUAAGUUCGUGUAUUGUGGGUAAAGUGUACCCCUCUGCAGAGGUUAACUAACUGUUCGAACAGCCGUGCCCACGGUCAUGGGCGGACGUGAGGUGGUUCCCGUUGCGUAGAUUUGUUUGCCUGUACUUUGUGAAAAGUUGUUGUGGUGUGGGAAUCGUAACCAGAAUCAGCCUACGUGGCAGAUGGAUGACCUGAGUGGUCAGAAACGAAUCUGUGUGAUUCGGGAUGUCUGCGGGCAUCAUAGACUAGGCUUCCCGAGUGGAAGCGGAUUGCUUUGCUGCUGGGCAACUGGACUCUGGGAGUCCGAGAAAUUGAAAAAGGCUCUGGAAGCCGCCUAAUCAAGUGAAAUGGCUCUGGGAGCCGAGAAGUAAUGAUCUGACCCGGGAGGUCGGUACAUUACCAAUUGAGUUGUUGAAAAGCAUCUCUUAAGUCGAUUUGAGACGCAAGUCUCUUUUCGACCCAAACUUAAAAAGAAAUAAAUCACUUAGUGAUUUCAAAAUGAUUUCAAACAAAAGAUUCGCAAAACUAUCUUGCCUCUCUUCCAAGCUUGCAUUAAACACCUAAGUUCCCGUGACUUGCUGAGUACGAAAGUACUCACCCUUGCUCUAUAUAAAUAUAUAUAGUUCCGCCGCCCUGAAGUUGAAGAUGAAGUGAAGUGAAGAUUAGGGUUUCGUCCUGGUUCCCAGCCGUCGCCUGUGGUGUUGGGUGUUAGUUCGUUGGUUCCGCUGCUUCUGCUGUUGUUGGUGUUUCCUCGUCCGUGUCGUCGGUUGCAUUCUCGGGUUGUUCUGAGCUGCAACCUAAGUUAAGGUAAAUAAGUCCUCUAUUUAUUUUAAGGAUUUGCAAUGAUUCAUAUUUGUCACCGUGGGUACCAGCACUAUGUCCUGGGACUGGUACCGAGAUCGCGGUUUCGUAGGAAGCGGUUCGCGCCGUUUUUCCUACGACACGCUCCUAUCAGGUGCCGUUGUACGACGGUGCCGGAUUGGGGUGUGACAAUUUCCCAAGCAACUAGCAGGAAAACUGAUUUGAGCCCUUUGUGUUUUGUUACUUCUAGAUCGCUUGUUCCUUGUGUCCACCAAUCCAGCAGAUCCCUGCUAGUGCUCCACCUCGGGAUGAUGUGCCCUUGUCGUAGCCAAUGGAGCACGCCAAACCAAACUUGCUUCGAGACUGAGCAUUCGAAUAGCAGGUGGUUGAUGGUUUCAAGGUUUCGAAAACAUAACUGGCCGAAGUAGUUGUUUGGCCACCCCCUGAUUUGCAACAUAUCUGCUGUCCAUACCCGAUUUUGAAUCGCAAGCCAACUGAAGAUCUUGCAUUUCGCCGGGACCCAUGCCUCCCAAGACAGCGUUGCCGACGGCGAGGUUGUCAUUCCCUCAAAUUAGAAAAGAUAGGCAAAUUUUACGCUGUAUUCCCCAUUUGCCGUACAUCUCUAAGUGAUCGAAUCCUCCACUCCUUCUGUCAAUUGUGGGCUUUCGAGUGCUAAGACCUCCCAGAUUUUAUGUAUUCUGAAAGAAGGGUGACAGUGAGGUUGUGACGGAUGUCAUUUAUCCACCUUCCAUGUUAAUGCACUGUUUUGAAUGUAGACAUCAUAUACUGCUUGAUGGUCAGAUUGUUAACUGUUAAAAUAAAUCCUUCAGAAUCUUUAGCUGUUGACGGUAUAUGAACUGCAUUAAAUCUAAGAACAUGCUACGAACCCCUCUGCAGAACACCUUAAGUUCUUUUCUUUUUUGUAUCUAUUGGCUAUAAGUUUCUCAAAUUUAUACAUAACUAAUUUAACUUCUGUGGGAGCCUGUGAACUUUUAGUAUAGACUUCAUCAAAAGGUUUCCUCUUGAACAAUUCGAUUUUUGACUCAACAACCAAAAUUCGACUUUUCAACACACAUCACAAUGUUCCAAGAUUAGCAACCAAGGCAGGGACGCGUACGUGGUCGUCAGUUUCCAGUAACUCAGUUUGGUGCGUGGAGUUUACUUUGCAAAGCGCGGGUCGUCGCACUCUCGCGUCGCGUCGUCGUACGUGGCCGUUCCUUGAUCAAAACUUUCUCUGCCAGGAAAUUGCCGCCCAAUUGCAUACUAUUAGUCCCCAUCGUGCGUUCACCCAUCCAAUAUUGCUUAACCAAAAGUCUUGUAAUUUUAUCGCCUAUCAACAGCAGGGUCACAAUAAAGUUUGAGAUUGACAUAAGCUGCCAAAAUCUUUCUCCGAACCAAUCAAGUCACCAAAAACCGAACAAAAAGACAUGCCAAUAUUAGCAAUAUGUUCUAAACAAAUCUAUACAUUUAUAUGCAGUACAGUUAUGAUAUAAUUACAUUACAUGUAACUAUAAUAUAACUUGUAUCGUUCAUUCUAAUCGUUCCGAUUCAACAGAUGCAAUUGCAAUAUAACUUUUGUCGUUCAUUCCAAUCGCUCCGAUUCAACGGACUAGAUUGAUUGAUUUAUUUAUACGUAUGAUUAUUACCACCACCACGAGGAGCUAGCCGGGUAUUGGUAGACGACGUGCUGCGGCGGCGGCGCGUAACCGUAGGGGUAGCAAUUCCACGGGUACGGGUACUCGACGACGGCGGGCUCCGGCUUCUUCUCCUCCUUCUUGUCCUCGCCGACGGUCAUGAGCGUGGCGUGGCCGACCUUCUUGCGCAGCGCGGUGGUGAGCUCGAUGGAGUCGACGCCAUCGCCGACCACCACCAACUGGUCCUUGCCGUCCCCGGCCAGCGCCACCGAGUCCACCCCGGUCGUCGACGCCACGAGCGCCAUCGCCUUCGACCGGCACUUGUCGCUCGCCAUGUUCAUCUUUAUCACAAUCUUUUGCUGCAAAAACCAACCCAACCAAAUUCAGUUUCAGGGGCUUUCAGCAUGCCACACUUGCUAAUAAGAUGUAGUAAAUUACUACUACUACAUUCGUCCUAAAAUAUAACAACUUUUAGCUAUAAAUCUGGACACACUAUUGUCCAGAUUCAUUACUAAAAAAUGCUUAUAUUUUAGGACGGAGGAAGCAAUAGCUAGCAAGUUGUAGUAAUUAUGUAUGUACCUUGGCCAUUGCUGCUCUCUUGGGAGGAAUGAGAUCAGAGGCUGCUACAAUUAGCAAAAGUCUGAAUGGUGUAACUGUUCUUCACUUGGGAAUUGAAGCUGGAGCUCUGUUGUGCAGAGGACCUCAGCUUGGUUAGCUUGCCGUGCAUGAGGGAGAGCAGAGCCUGAGAACUCCCCUCCUUAUAUGGCUGUGUUUGCUAGGGGAGGAUGGGAACAUGCAUAGUGCGCAUGGAAAACGAAGUAGUCCAUUAGCACGUGAUUAAUUAAGUAUUAGCUAUUUUUUUAAAAAAAUGGAUCAAUAUGAUUUUUUUAAACAACUUUCAUAUAUAAAUUUUUUGCAAAAAAACACACCGUUUAGCAGUUUGAAAAGAGUGCGUGUGGAAAACGAGAGGGAAAUGUUGGGAACACCCCCCUUGCGAAUACACCCAGUGUGCCGCUCUGCUAGAUAUGUGUACGCUGAACAAUUCAGAUGUGGAGCAGUUGGGAUUUUCUGAUUUUGUUUACGACUUGGUGUGACUACGGUCAUGUCAGUAAUUAAUCCCAUUAGUCACUUGGCUGAUCAAUAUUGCUGCAGACGCGGCACGAGAAACCGUGUAAGGGCACCCACAAUGGUUAUCUAUAGACUCUCUAUAAGAGAUCCAUAUCAGCAUAUUUUCCUACUUGGAAGAUAUUAAAUGAAGAGAGAGAGCAAAACUAUCUACUAACUUAGAGAUAGUCUAUAGAGAAAAACGAGACAAUGCAUGAGAGAGCUAUAGAUACUCAUGCAGACAUACUAUUGAGGUGGUUUACUAUUAAUCUAGUCUAUUGCUGAGAUGUACAUGUUUUAUAGAGAGUAUCUUACUUUACCAUUGCGGGUGCUCUAAUGUGAGUAUACUACUACUGUUGUUGCUGCUUGUUUGGACUCCUUAACUGUAUUAUACUUGGAGCAGCAGAUUAAUUAGUGACCAAGCACUCUCCUUCCUCCUUCCUCCCGAAGGCUUUUUGUUCAUAUCUCCAUUAAGACAUUAAACUAAUUUCGCACAAUUGGUUGAUCACACUAUACUAGUAGUCUAGUACCAUGCCGUCAGGUUGUGCGGUUAUGACGACUGCUGCGUUGGUGUCAGCUUGGAGAAGUAGGACACAGGGACGAACGUUUUCUUCCAGUGAUUGAAAGAGUAAAGUUGCAACGCACUAGUUGCAAUUAAUAUAAGAAAUAAGAAUCCAUCACAUUGAGCCAUGUCAUUGACAAUUUGUAAUCCGUUGGAUUUCAUAUGGACGCUUGGCAGUUCAUUUCAGAUUACAUUACUCGUUUGCUUGCUAUGCAAUGUACUUAAUUAGCACAUGCGUUGAGAAAUAAGCACAAACUUUAACGUGUUCCCAUACUCCAACAGGAAUAAUAUACUAUUUGUUACUUUUUCUACUACCUACUCAUUAUAGGUUGCUAUAUUUUAAGAUGGGGAAUACAUAAACAACUAUGAAAAAAAAACAGGUCAAAAAUCGGAGGGAGUAUUUUGGAACGGAAGGUGUACCAUCUACAUGACGACUUCCUUGAUCUCGAAGAACUUGAUGAUUAGCAUAUCUGAAAUUGUUGGUCGGCAUAUAUUUAAUGGAGUACUGAGCAGUAACUUUGUGCGAUGCUUUUCCUUUGAAACAUACGGAACUCGUAUUUGUCAAAUCAUUAUCAUGAUUAUUAUUUUAUAAUAAACAAUUAAAUAUUAUGAGGAUUAUAUAGGUAAUUCUGGUUUAUUGGUGAAGUGUUAGUAGACAGAUGGUCUGACUUGAUCAAGUAUCAAGGACAGUUAGUAGACCUGUGGCAUGUGGCUGGUUCGACUGACAAGGUAGCGGUGGUCUGAUUGGAGCCGUGUGUGCAGUUAGACUUACUCCUAGAUAGUUCGUGAACUCCGGAUUUAGAGGGGUUUCCCAGUGAAUUUGAGUGCUUAAUUUUUAAGGCUUGUAAUUGUUCUGUAUGCUAACAUAAGUCAAAGAUGACAAAGACUUCUGCUUGUAUAUUGUUCUUUUUUGUUUAUUUAUGUAUAUGUGUCUUGAGAUCACAUGAGUAUCGCUGAUGAUGGAUUGGAAGUCGAGUUAGGUGAAAUUGAUGUACAAACAAUUAAGGAGAUUAUGAAAGAUGAUCAUAGUAACAAACAGUGCAAGUGGAGGUGAAAUUGUUGGCAUACACGGGAUGUGAGCGCAUAUGAAAGACGAGUCAAAUUUUGAAAAUUUAUUUUUGUAGGUGGUCCCUUAAGAGGGCUGUUCCUCUUAGAUAUUGUUUAUAAAAGUAAAUUUUAUCUAGUCUCUUAAGUAACCAUCUGGAAAAGUCAAUUUCUGCGGUGGUUUGGACCAAAGUCCCCGGUGCGUUUCUACUUGUCUUCUUUUUUUUUUCUAAAAUCACGAGGAGUGUUUGGGAAAAUGGUUUUUAAUAUAUAGUGGAGGGGAGAUUGUUGCCGGUUAGAGAGAGUGCAGAUCCUCUACAGUACUUCUCGUGUAGUAGCAGUGGCAGACGUGUGGACCCGGGCCCACAUGUCAGGCACUGCUACUGCACCAGCAGUACUGCAGGCAAUCCCCAUUGGGUUGGAGAGGGUGACUGAAUGAUCGAGAUGGGAAGCGGGGAGUUGUUUAUAUGUUUUUUUUGUGUCCAGUGCAAAAUAUUAAAGUUUAUCAUUGUAAAUUUAACUAAUAAUGAAAGGCCAAAAUAGGGGAUGAUAGGUGUUGACAAAAAUUUAAGACAUCACUUAAGCAUAAUUAUGGUCUUACAUUAUGUAGAUGGUAUAGUCUCAGAGUAUAUGUGUCCACGUUAAGUUUCCUCUAUAAAUCUUCUAGGGGCGCAGCCUUUUUUUCACAAGAACUACUCCCUCCGUCCAAAAAAAAAACAAACCCUGGUUUCCGUGUCUAAUGUUUGACCGUCCGUCUUAUUUAAAAAAAUUAUAAAAAAAUUAAAAAGAUAAGUCACGCAUAAAGUAUUCAUCAUGUUUUAUCAUCUAACAACAAUGAAAAUACUAAUUAUAAAAAAAUUUCAUAUAAGAUGAACAGUCAAACGUUGGCACGCAAACCCACGGUUUGCUUUUUUUUUAGGACGGAGGGAGUACUCUCUUAGGCCAGUCACAAUGGGGGUUUCACUGGUGUGUCAUGCACAUUUAAUAGGGGUAAGACUGAAUAAAAAAUGAUUAUUUGCAUGAAAUGGGGAUGAGAGAGAAGGAAAGAGUUUCAUCCUGGUGAAACUCGUCAGCGUCGUUUCCAAGUCCUCGGUAACAGAGUGAAACCCCCGUUGAGGCCGAUUCGUUUCAUUCACCGGAUCUCUUGCGUCCGCCUCCGCCGUGCGACCUCCGCAUUCUCCCGCGCCGCGCCGGAUUUUGGGUACAAAUGAUCCCAGCAACUUGUAUCAAUUAAAUGCUUUGCUUAGUCUUGGAAACGUCAAAGUGAAACCCCUCCACUGUGGGGAUUGUUUCAUAAAAGAUUUCAUUUGAGAGAAGAUGGUAUAAUAUUUUGGGUAGCCGUGCAAUGACACUAGCCAUUGUGACUGGCCUUAGGGGCAUAGUACAGUGCAGCUAGCGGAGACUCAGAGCAAACGGUUCGUGCGACCAGUAGUACUUCUCUUUUUCGUGAGCUGAAAGAUUUCCGUGGCGUACUCAGCGGAGUAGUUGCUCAGUGGCUCUGUCUUCCGUAUCCAACGUUGACCGUCUAUUUUAUUUGAAAAAAUUAUAAAAAAGAUUAAAAAGACAAGUCACGUAUAAAAUAUUAUUUAUAUUUUAUCAUUUAACAAUAAUGAAAAUACUAAUUAUAAAAAAAUUUCAUAUCAAACGAACGAUCUGGACACGGAAACCCAGGGUUUAGCUUUUUAAAGACGGGGGAGUAGUAAGCAAUUCGGUCGACACAGCUACAGCUGGUCCAGCGACAGCGAUCUGGCCAAUCCAAUCGAAGAGGAAAAUCGCAACACGACGAAGACGAAUUCGAAGCCGACGACCGGUGAUCCCCGCCGUGCACGCCGGCGCCCGGCCGGCGAAACUGCCCGAUCGGCUCGGAAGAUUUAAUCCGACUUGCCAUUAUUCAUCUUUUUUUUUUUGCGAGGACUUGCCAUUAUUCAUCGACUAAUAUAUCUGAGCGAGUGAAUAGCGCUACUGCUUCUUUUGGACUCGUUCGGCAGAGAACGGCCAUUUGUCUGAACUUCUUUAAUUUUAGCGUUCAUCACCUCAUCUGCAGCCUGAAGGUUCGUCACCGCGUUGGCCGAUCAAGUAGCUAGUCUAAGACUCUGAGGGCACAUGGGACGAUUAGUAAAUACAGACACGCACUACUUAACCAUCGAGGACCCAUGCAUUACUUAAACCAAGAAUCUAUUUUAUCGCCAAUCAACGGGACAGUCACGACAAGUUUGAGAUCGACAAGCCAAAAUCUUCUAUGAAUCAAUUGAAUCACCAAAAAGUUUUUUAAAAAAAAAAAACCAUGCCGAUCGACUCAGCGAUCUGCCCUGCCCCUAAACAACGCAAACCAUCAUAUCAUCCUGGUUUAUACACUUUUAAUCCGUGAAACAUGAAGACCAUAUAUUGGGAAUGAAAUCCUCUGACGUUACAUCUUCCCUGAUGUGUGUGCAUAGAUACUAGGGCUGUGUUCAUUCUCCUAUUUUUUCAACCCACAUCUCUUGUUUUCCGCGCGAACGCUUUUUAUACGGUUAGAUGAUGUGAUUUAUACAGAAACUUUUUAUAUGAAAGUUGAUUAAUCAUAUAAUAAUACGAGCUUCAUUUUAUUGAGCACAGUUAGAGAUAAUAGAAUAGACAUGUCAGCAACCACCCUCCGAUUUUAAAUGAGAGGAUCCCAGUUUCCAAUUUUUUCUUCAAACUUCUAAAUUUUCUAUCACAUCAGAAACUUUUCUACAUACAUAAACUUUCAACUUUUUUCUUCAAACAUCCAAUUUUAGUAAAACUUCUAAUUUUGACGUGGAACUAAACACAGCCCAAAUUGAUUUGUUUAGAAUAUAGACCACGAGCUGGCCGGGUAUUGGUAGACGACGUGCUGCGCCGGCGGCGCGAAGGUGUAGGGGUGGUAGCUCCACGGGUACUCGACGACGGCGUGCUCCGGCUUCUUCUCCUCCUUCUUGACCUCGCCGACGGUCAUGAGCGUGGCGUGGCCGACCUUCUUGCGCAGCGCGGUGGUGAGCUUGAUGGAGUCGACGCCGUCGCCGACCACCACCACCUGGUCCUUGCCGUCCCCGGCCAGCGCCACCGAGUCCACCCCGCUCGUCGACGCCACCAGCGCCAUCGCCUUCGACCGGCACUUGUCGCUCGCCAUGUUCACCUUGAUCACAAUCUUUUGCUGCAAAAACCAACCCAACCAAAUUCAGUUUCAGGCUUUCAGCAUGACACACUUGCUAAUAUAAGAUGUGGAGUAGUAAAUUAUGUACCUUGGCCAUUGAUGCUCUCUUGGGUGGAAUGAGAUUCAGAGGCUGCUGACUAGCAAAAGCCUGAAUCGUGUUGCUGUUCUUCACUUUGGAACUGAAGCUGGAGUCGUGUUUGUGCAGAGGAGAGGAGAGGAGAGGAGAUUGGCUUGGCUGGCAGCUAGCUUUGGCGGUGGAUGAGGGAGAGCAGAGUCCAGAGCUCCCUCUUUAUAUAGGAGUGUGCCGCUCUGCUACAUCGUCUGUACGCUGAACAAUUCAGAUAUCGAUCGAUGCGUCAAGUGGAACAGUUGGGAUUCUCUGAUUUUGUUUAUGAAUUAUGACCAUGGGUCAUGGGCUCAUGGCAUGAAUCCCAUUGGCUGCUUUGCUGAUUGCUGCUGCAGACGCGGCAAGAGAAACCGUGUCUUGUGAGUAUACUGAAGUACUACUCUGCUGCGCUGCUUGUUGGACUGCUUUCAAAGUCGUAUACUUGCGAGUAGUAGCAGAUUAAAUUAGUGACCAAGCAGUCUCCUUCCUCUUUCCUCCAGAAGGCUUUUGGUACGUAUCUCCACUAACAUUAAACUAAUAUCGCAUUAUUUCGAAAAGUACGACAGGUAUGAAGUUUUUCCAGUUAUUGUGAUGUCUCCGGCCAAUCCGAGGACGCCUAAAGAAAGUAUUGCUUGGUUUGCGAAAAGGUUGCUAAUUUUUUUUAAAAAAAAUGUUUAGACUUAUUAAAGGUUUGCUUCAAUUUAUGAAAGGGUUGUAUGGGACAAAAUAAUUUGGUUAUCAUCCCUUUCUUCAGAACUAGUCCAAACGAAACAGUAUAUUAGUGUAUGAUUAAUUAAGUAUUAGAUUUUCUGAAAAAUAGAUUAAUAUGAUUUGUAAAACAAUUUUUCUAUAUAUAUAUAUAUUAAAAAAACGAUACUAUUUAACAGUUUGGAAAGCGUGCGUGCGAAAAAAGGUGGAGUGAAGUUGAAAACAUUGAGUAAAUGGCUCAGCCGGUUCUUUUCUCAUUAAGAUAAAGGUUUUUCCUCGAUUUUCGGUAGCACGUUUUUCAAACAACUAAACGGUGUGUUCCGUACGAAAAGUUUAUAUCUAGAAAUUACUUUAAAUAUCAAACGUAUACAUUUGUCAAGUUUAUAAUAAUUAAAACUUAAUUAAUCAUGUGCUAAUGUUUUUUUUACACCCAUCAACUUAAUCUUUAUGUUCGUCAGUUUCAAACACCUCAGCAGAGCGCCACUACUAUAAAGGAGCCACUGGAUUGAGCCAUAUCAUCGCUAAUCUUUCAUCCGGUCACAGCUGCUGCUGGUCCAGCGACAGCGAUCUGGCCAAUCAAUCCAAGGAGAAAAUCGCAACACGACGAAGAGGAAAGCCGACGACCGGCGAACUGCUCGAUCGGCUCGAAGAGAUUAAUCCGACGUACUGCCCAUUCCGAAGCUACGGUCCUCGGCAACACAUGCAUAUGAACUCGUGAACAAACGCUAGUACAUCUUUUGGACUCAUUGCGAUUAAUAUACGCCCGCAGACAAAAUUUGGAAGUCUGGUUGAAAGAUUAGCGAUAUUAUUAUUCUUAACUUUCAUCACCUCCCCCUUCAGCCUGAAGGUUCGUCAGCGCGUGUGCCGAUCAAAGUAUUCUCAAGAGUGCACAUGGGACGCCGAUACGAUUAGUAUACACAGACACGCACAAACCAUUUAAUCCAAAAAUCUAAUACUCCCUUCGUAUUUUAAUUUAUGACGCCGUUGACUUUUUAACAAACGUUUGACUAUUUUUUUUAUUCAAUUUUUUUUGUGCAAAUAUGAAAAUAUUUAUGUCAUUCUUAAAGAACAUUUGAUGAUGAAUCGAGUCACAAUAAAAUAAAUAAUAAUUACAUAAAAUUUUUAAAUAAAACAAAUGGUCAAACUUUAGAUAAAAUGUCAACGACGUUAUACAUUAAAAUAAAAUAUAGAGGCUUAAUUUAUCACCAAUCAACGGACAACGGGACAGUCACGAAAAUUUGAGAUGCACAAAGCCAAAAUCUUCUCUGAAUCAAUUUAAAUCACCAAAAAUGAGAGGGAGGGGGGGACGACAUGCUGAUCUCUCAGCGAUCUGUCCUAAACAACCCAGACCAUCCUACUUUAUACACUUUUAAUCCGAGAAACAUGGACGCCACGUAUCUUGAUCUUUUCGAUCCAACGGACCAGAUUGAUUGAUUUUAUCUAAUACGAGUAGUUAAGCACUUAGCACCACCACGGCGAGCUGGCUGGAUACUGCUGGUAGAAGACGUGCUGCGCCGGCGGCGCGUAGGUGUAGGCCGGGUGGUAGCUCCACGGGUACUCGACGGCGGCGGCGGCGGGCUCCGGCUUCUUCUCCUCCUUCUUGACCUCGCCGACGGUCACGAGCGUGGCGUGGCCGACCUUCUUGCGCAGCGCGGCGGUGAGCUUGAUGGAGUCGACGCCGUCGCCGACCACCACCACCUGAUCCUUGCCGUCCCCGGCCAGCGCCACCGAGUCCACCCCUCCCGUCGCCGCCACCAGCGCCAUCGCCUUCGACCUGCACUUGUCGCACGACAUCUCCACCUUUAUCACGAUCUUUUGCUGCAAAUCAAAUUAUCAAACACAACCAAAUUCAGUUCCAGUUUGUUUCAGAAAAUUCAGUUUCAGGCUUUCGGCACACACAGCGAUCGAAACCAAAUUAAGCUGUAAGAAACUAUGAGAAGCAAGUGAUGUGUAGUAAUUAGGUACCUUGGCCAUUGCUUUGCUUAAUUUCUUGGCAGGAACGAGAUCGGAGGCUACUAAUUAGCAAAACCCUGAUCGAAUUGUGUGAUUUUGUACUCUUCACUAGCUUGGGAAUUAGCUCAGCUUGGCGUGGAUGAGUGAGAUAAGAGAGUCUCCAGGGCUGCGCUCCUUUAUAUAGGAGCUGAUGCUGUCCUGUCCCAACUCUGACGCGUACAGUACGCUUGAAGAAUUCAGAGAUGGACCGAUCGAUCCGCUCGAUGCGUUACGUCGAGCAGUUGGGAUUUCAGAAAUUGUUAACGACUUGGCUCUGGUCCUCGCAGAGACGAGAAGACGAUGUGCUGCAGACGCGGCAAGAAACCGUGUGUGUCUCAGUGUGGUUGUGUGUCUUGAUCAGUACUCCAGUGCUGCUGCUUCCAGUGAAAUCAGCGACUAGUAUGCAUGUGCCUUUUGGACCCUUUUAACUAGAAAUCACUAGAUUAAUGUGUGACCAGCUUGGAGAUCAAGCUAAGCACUCUCCUUCAUCCUUCCUCCCAAAGGCUUUGAUUGACAGUACUCUCUCCAUAUUUUAAUGUAUAACGACGUUAACUUUUCGACUAACGUUUGACUAUUCGUUUUAUUUAAAAUUUUCGUGCAAAUAUAAAAAUAUUUAUAUAAUGCUUAAAGAACAUUUGAUGAUGAAUCUAGUCACAAUAAAAUAAAUGACAAUUGCAUAAAUUUUUCGAAUAAAACGAAUGGUCAAACGUUAGAUAAAAAGUCAACGGCGUCAUAUAUUAAAAUACGGAGGUAGUACAAGUUUAAUACCUUCAUUAGCUAAUUAUACAUGACGUCGACUGCGUGACGUCGGCUUGGAAAAACAGAAAGGGAAAGAACAAGUGUGAACGUUUAAUUUCUUUGGACCGAUCAUUGUGAUGUGUCCGUAUCUUCCUUGCCACUCAAGAAUCUGGUGAUUAUCUGAAGUCUGCUCACGUUGACUGAGGCCCCGUUUUUCCUCGGUUAAGAUACCUCCGUUUUAUUAGCAUAUUUUUUUUAAACUGUUAAACGGUGUAUCUGUUACGAAAGCUUUUUAUAUAGAAGUUAUUUAAAAUAUUGGAUAAAUCCACCUUCAAGUUUAAAAAUCCAAUUAAUCAAUAUGCUUAUGCCUUUUUUUUCUGUGUCUGUACUUAGGACUUGUCCAAUUUGUUCUUGCAACCUUACCAAAUUUUUAUAAGAUAACACUUCAACCCUUACUAACUUGCCAAAUUUUUGGCAAUUCUAAAAGUUUCCUAUCUUAAAACUCUAUCAAAAUUUGAGGAGAACAUGGAAACAAACAAAACCAACAUUACCGAAAUUCCAUAAUACCAAAAUAAGUCAAAAUUCGGUAUUACCAAAAUUUAGUACUAUGAUUAAUUUGUGCAACAAAGUGAGCAAGUCCUUAAUCUAUAUCCUUAGUUAUUAACUCCAACGUGGUAUAAGUGGAAUAAACUAGCAACAGUGGAGCAGAAUUCUUGCCACUCACACCUGGGGACAAUAUCACUAUCAGUUAAUUAUCGCGUAAUCAAUCCAAGAAUUAAUACUCAGUAAGAUCCUAGCUCGACGACAACGACCGGUCAUCUCCGGCGUGCACGCCGGCGAACACCCCAUGGAUUCAUCCGACCGGGUCAGUCGGUCCACCGGUCCGAGCUUAAUUGCAUCUAUUCGAUCGAGUGCGUGAACAACCUACUUCUUCUUCCUUUUGGACUUAUUGUGUUAAUUAACGCGGUAGAGAGAAUCAUAUUUGUCCGAACUUUUAAUUUUUUUAUCGAUCAUUUGUUUGAACUUUGAUGUACCAUGUAGUAUUGUAUUAAUUAUUGUUUGCUUAACUUACAUCGCCUCACCUGAAGGUUCAGGGGUUGUUUGGUUGCAUGCCACAAAUUGCCACGCCUAAAGUUAGUCAUGCCACAGUUUUUUAGCUAUUGUUUGGUUCAUGACACAACUGUGGCUAGCCACACAUUUUCUCUAUAUGGCCCCACAUGUCAUACACUGGUAUUUUUUGCUAACUUUGGCUAAGUUGUGGCUUGCAUUUUGCUAGCCACACAUUUUGUGGCAGCCACACCUUGCCUAAUAUGGAGUUUGGUAAAGUUAGUAAGCAACCAAACAUCCCCUCAAUUUGUCGGUCGUCGCGCCGUCCAUGGAUAAUGCCAAUCAAGUUGAUUUUUCUCAUUUGACAAUUUUUAGUAGAACGCAAACACGCGCAAUUGUUUUUGUUUUCCACGCAAGGACAACAGCGUGACAACUUGCUGGUCAAGGAUCGGGAUGUUGAGAUGUGACCUCCUUCGCACUGUGCCAAAAGGAGCGCAUGAACUCCACAUUACCAGUAACUUAUCUGAUUAAUUUGUGCUAUUUUACAUUUGGUUCUCACGCACCAGAUAAAUCCGUGAAUCAUAAUGAGUAUUUUUACAAAUUCAGAUAGAUGCUAAAUUAUAUUUAAGUUCUUGUACUACUAAUAUGAUUUAAUUAACUGAUAUGUGUGUGUGCAGAUCUCAUGCCACACAUCAAACGAUUAAACUAUACGAUUGACUGAAGAUCCAAUAUAUUAUCUCUUUUUUAAUAUAUAUAUAUAUUUUUAAAGUUAGACACAUGUGUAUUAAUAAUGAAAAAACUAAAUAAGAAAAUAAUAAUGAUUGGUUGAGAAGAUAAAGUACUUAAAGAAUUUGAUGGGUGAUUGAGAACAAAAUGUAAAUAGAAAAAAUAUCAUAUUUUAGAAUAAAUUUCAAAAAGUAAAUCGUCAAUCGAUGCGGCCGUGUAAGUUCAGAGCGGACAAGAGCCAACAACCUCAACUCUCAGUUUGUUUUUUUUUUUGAAAACUCAUAAAUUUAUUCAUAUAGUGAGGAUUACAGACAGAGCUCAAAGGAAAUGGCAUCCCCAGAACAUCGCCAUAAAAGAUAAGACAUAAAAAACAACACCAUCCAUUCAGAAGGUAAAGCUAGCUGAACUAAGAAAAACAUCCUCCAAGAUAAUCCAAACAGCAGUAAAGAACGCGAUCGACAGGGGACUGCGGUAAUGCCGCGACGACCACGUCCACGAGCCUCUACUGAAGACGCGCACACCGCUUGACAGACCGGUGACCCCUUCGGCUGCCUCCACGGAAACGGCGCUAUUCGAGGUUUGUUGUUGAGUCGUAAAUUUUUCUUAAGCUUCACCGGACUCAACAAAAUAUUGUCAAGGAGUUCUCCAUCAAAUCUGAGGAGCACAGACUGCAAUCCUAUCGACAAGAGCCGACUAGACGGUCUAUACUCAACCCGAAUGGAGCCCUCAACUUGAAUACUACUGCAAGUAGAUUUGAAGAAAGUCUCCAUACUCCAACUUGCCUUGAACAUGCAAGAAUUAGGAUGGCGGCGACUGAACCCCUGUCUUGUAACGAUUUGGCGGAGGUACGCAACACCGGAGAUGGAAGGGAAAAUGUUGCCGCAGAGAGCUUCAAUAAGCAGGAGCCUGAGCAACCAACCAACAAGCUUGCCACCAAGAGCUUCAACAAGCAGAAGCAUGUGGAGAUUCAACCAACUAACAAGCUGGAGCAGCUCAUUCAGCCCACCAACGAGCAUGAGCAGCAGCAGCUCUUGCAGCCACCACCAUCCGUCCUUGUCAGGGAGCCUGAGACGGCCGGCCCAGAAACACCACAUCCAUCUCCAUCACUCUGGGCAAGCAAUGAACAGAGGCCAGCUGCACCGGAUCCACCACCGCAAGCCCUUGUCGCCAUGGAAAGGACGCCAAACGCCCCAGAUCCAUCCAUCUUCAGCGACGACACUGGGACAGCCACGGCCACAAACACCACCGCCACCAUCGUCUUCUCCGAUCGCCAUGAAGCAACACCGGCGAAACUCCAAAAGGGACAAACCCGAGCUACAGGAAGACCUGACUACGGAAGAACUCCGACCUAACCUACUUUAUACUAGUACGGGAAGGUGGCCUGGCCCCUCCUUCGGCCCUCACCGGCGGCGAACCACCGGAAUCGGGGGGAAGAGGGGUCGGGGAGGGGGAUUUUACUAUAGAAGCCUAUUCUCCCACAAGCUCUCCAGAGACUUCUGUUUAACUCUCAGUUUGUUGUUUGGUGAUAGUGCGGCCAUGAGAAGACCAGUUGGACAACUGCAGAAACAAGAAGAUCAAAAUUAAUUCCACACAUCAAGUCCUAAAAGUCAAAAUGGGCUAUAUGAUCCAAAUUACAUCGAAGCAUCCAUUUGUAGAACUUUGCGAGACCUUAGCUCCACAAAUCAACACCGUGGAAUCGAAAAAAUUGUUGUCGACUAUGUGCGUGCGUGACAGUACAGUGCACGGUUGAAAAGCAGGGGAGAGGCAUCAGUAUACCAGAGGUCAGAGGAAAUUGGUAGUAAUGCCACGAAGUUAAGGUGCCACAAACUCAAGUGGCUUUGUUGUUUUUUUUUAUCUUGUCUACCACAAUAAAAAAGAAACGUAAAGGAAAAAAAAAACAUUUCAUACCCCUUAUUAGGGGAGAUUAGAAGUGGGAAGAUGGUUGAAGUAAAGUUGACGAAAAAAUAUACUCCAUCCGUUUCACAAUGUAAGUCAUUCUAGCAUUUCCCACAUUUAUAUUGAUGCUAAUUAUAUGUCUAGAUUCAUUAGCAUCAAUAUGAAUGUGGGAAAUGCUAGAAUGACUUACAUUAUGAAACGGAGGAAGUAAAUGAGAAGUGGUUAGAUAAACAUGUAUAGCACUCUAUAAAUCUUCCUAUUUACAGAUAAAUUUCAAAUGCAUUAUUUAUCGACAGAGAGAAUGUACUCUGCAAGUCGGAUGAUAGCCUCAAAAUAUUUAAACUUAACAAACCGCAAAGCUCUGUGUCUUCUGUUCAAAACCUCAAUCAUCACAUCCCCGCGCUCCCACUUCACACAUUUUUUAUCGCGGGAGAGCAAAACAAAACAUCACCAUAAUAAUCUCUCUUGCAAUACCGUACAAAAAGAAUAUUCGCACUACGCGAUGUAUACACUACCAGUGUACAUACAUACGGACGGUAUGUGUACACAUGGUAUUCUACAUGAUGUAGCCGUAAGGGCUGUAAUGGUGGUACGGGUAGUAGUAGUAGUACGGCGGGACGGUCUCAGGUUUCUUCUCUUCCUUCUUCUCCUCCUUCUUGGCCGGCUUGGCGUCGCCGACCUCCACCAGCUCGGCCGGCCCGACCUUCCUCCGCAGCAAGCUCGUCAGCUUCACCGAGUCCACCUCGCCCACCACCACCACCUUGCUCCUGUCGUCGCCGGCGAGCUCCACCGACACCACGCCGCCGGUCGCCGCCACCAGCGACAUCGCCUUCCGCCUGCACUUGUCGCUCCCCAUGUGCACCUUGAUCACGAUCUUUUGCUGCAAAGAUCAAGAACCAUGGUUGUUGAGUCCAGAGAACUCAAGAACGGCGAUGAUAUAUAUGAGAAGGGAGAAUCACUUACCGCCAUUGCUGAGGAGAAUUGUUGAUCGAUCGAACGAUGAGAUUGGGAUGAACGAAGAGGUCGAGGAAAUUCGUGUGUGGAUCGUCGAGCAAGAGAGGUGAGCUUGGAAAGCAGUUCAGCUUGAGCUGGUGCAGAGUCCCCUGGCAUUAGCUCCUAUAUAUAUACACAGCUUAAGUGCUUAACCACCCACAUAUUGGCAGAUGAACAAAUCAUACUUUGUUUAAUUAAGACUUCGUCUCUCAGCUGGUCUGCAGGAAGGAACGACUUGGCUUCUCGAUCGUCUCGUCAGUUGUCACUUGGUUUAUUAGGACACAAGACACUUUUGUCACUUUGUUUCUCGAGCUGGACUAGUGCUUAGGCUACUAGUCAGCUGGACGAGAUUAGGCGUUAGUGCUUGUCCUAAUUAUAGUUGGUUUCCUACUUGGCGACCAAGCAAGUUGUAAACGCACAAGUCUGAUGAUAAUCUCUCUGCUAAAACUGUUGCACAAAACUCUGAAUUGACCGUGAUUAAAUUUUACUUUGUGUCAUUACUGUGUGCUUAGCCGAAGUAAUUAGCCAUGGUAUUCAGGUUAGUAGUCUCGAUCGCAGUCUUUUGAUUCGAUCUUCUUGUAUCCCCCUUGUUGAAAAUAAGGUGUUGAAAGUACUACAAAAUAACUCCUAGCUACCAGAAGAUCAUCAGAAGAUAACAUACCAGCUACAGUACUGCAAUGCCACAGAUAGCAACGGUUGGACACAAGUAGAUAAGUAUCACCUCCAUCGAGCGUCAGUACUUGCCCAGCGACGACAGCGAUCUUGGCCCAUCAAUCAAGCAAGAAGAUCGCAACACAAAGACGACGACGACGACGACCGGUGAUCUCCGGCGAACUGCUCGGCUCGGUCGGAGAGGUGAAUCCGGCUGGGUCUCAGUCCAUCGGUCCAAGCUACGAACAUCUAUCUGACCGCGUGAGAGCCAUUUGUGAUUUGUCUGAAGUUGCUUUUGGGCUUAAAAGUGAACGCGUCAGAGAAACCACUUGUCUGAACUUUAUUAUAUAUGCAGCGAUCUUUUGUCUCAACAUGAUGUUAUGUUGCAUUUGAAUAACCGUAUCAUCACCUCACCUGAAGGUUCAUCUUCGCGGGCGAUUUGCAAGAUGCAGAUUUUAAUAAGUCAGUGCGCACAUGGGACGAUCUUGAACACAAAUAUUCCAGAAGAGCCUGCAUGACGACUCGCAGGUCAAUGGAUUGGGAUGCUGAGAUGUGACGUUCGGAGUGCCAAAACGAGUGGGCUCCAAAAUUGAUAACUAACCAGAUUUCUAUGGAGAUCUCAUUGCGCAUAAACUUUGUUUUUCUUAGAAACACGGUAUAAACAUAUGUGCUCAUAGCACACGCUCGUUCACCCCUAUGGACGCACACGUACACCAUAUCCAUAUGAUCACUUCUUUCUAUUAACGCAUUUAUGCACAUCAUACAUCUAUGAGUACUCACCUCUAUUAACGUAUACACGUACACCCUAUCUUUAUUAGCACCUCCUAUUAGAGAUUACAUAUUCAUACACGUACAUAUUUCAAAGAGACUACCUAUACCUAAAUUUAAGUGAGUAUUACCUAAUAGAUAUACAUGAGCGAGUAACCUAAUGAAUAAGAUAAGACAAGAGACAUAUAUGGGUCUUACAUAUAGAAACGAAUCAAAAAUUGUUAAAAGUUGUUUUUCUAUAUAAUAAAUCAUCCCUCCAAAUUUCAGUCAAAAUUGAUAAAUUUCUAUAAUGCAAACAUGGGUGGUUUGAGUUUUACACAACUCAGAUGGGUAUAUAUAAAGUGGAUAAAAUAGAUAUUACCCUUCUCGAUCAUAUCCAAAUUUUAAAUAGGUAAUUUUGUUACCCAUAACCUACAUAAAUAAUAUGGAUAUGGAUAUGUGAAUCGGUAAUAAAUAUCAAAUGAACAGGCCUACUUGGAUCACUAUGAGAUUUGUACCACACGACCAACUCUAUUUUUUUCCCCUCCCUUCAUCAGUACCACUAGCCGCCACUUUUACGUGCACACAUGUUCCCCAUCUCUGAUGCCACCACGCAACCUAGCCAGGUGGUCGGAAAGUGUCAACGGUGUCAACAAGGUCUACUGGCUGUGGAUUAACAAAAUAGAUGAGAAGAUUAACCUUAAAAUUCAGCUUUUACACAUAGUAGGUAGCUAUAUUUAGGACAAACUUUAAAUAGUUAACUAUAUUUUGGGAUCUGGGACGGAGAGAGUAAGUGCCAGUAAAAUUGGUACUACAAGAAUAAAUAGUGCCGGGUAAGAACAAUAAAAUCACUUCUAUCAUUUUAGUACUGAAGCAAGUACUUUAAUUUGUCGGAAAUUUCAGUAGAACAGUAUGAGUUCAGACGUAAAACCGUUACACCACGGGUCCACGGCCUAAGAAAAAAACCAUUUGAAAAUACCAAGAUCGCCUUGUUCAAAACCUCAAAUCAUCUCACAUCCUCGACCCCACUUCAUACCAUGAGACACAAAACACCACUUCAUAGUAGAGGGAUCAGCAAAACAAACCGUAAUCUUUAUACACAAAACUCAUGCUAGUACUGUACAGCUACUGUGAAGUAUGAACAGGACGUACGGAUCCAGAAUAGAUGCUGGAAGGCUCGACAUCCAUUCCCUUCUUCAAUUCCCCUGUCCCCCUAAAUCUCCGUGAAGAGAAGAUAGGGGGAUGGAGAAGAAGAAGAAGGGAGGUCGUAAAGACGAGCCUCCCUCCAAACUCAUUCUGGAUUCCGCCCUGAUUGCAUUUCCUCUCCUCUACAUGAUGGAGCAGGUGCUGUCCGGGCUCGGGUUGCAGCCGCAGGGGCAGCCGUGAGGCCCGUAGCCCGGGUGGUGGUGAUACACGCCGCCGGGGUGGUAGUAGCCGUAGCCAUGGUGGUAGUACACCAGCUCCUCCUUCUCCUCCUUCUUCUUCGCCUCCUCCUCCUUCUUCUUGCUGGCGUCGCUCACCUCCACCAGCUCCGCCGACCCGUCCACCUUCCGCCGCAGCGCGUUCGUCAGCCCGAUGGAGUCCACGUCGCCCACCACCACCACCUUGCUCCUGUCGUCGCCGGCGAGCUCCACCGACACCACGCCGCCCGUCGACGCCGCCAGCGCCAUCGCCUUCCUCCGGCACUUGUCGCUCGACAUGUGCACCUUGAUCACGAUCUUUUGCUGCAAAGAACAUAGCACAAUAUCGCCAUGGUUCAGUCCAAAAGAAUUAUUAAGGAGUGAAUCGAACAAAGCCGCAGCUCUGCAAGAAACUGACGAUACGAGAGACGGGAAAGGAGAAAAAAAGAUUGGUUUCAGGCCGCGUACCACCAUUGCUGCUGCUGCGAUGAACUUGAGAACUUGGAACGACGAAGAGUCCGAGGAACUUGGUAGAUGCUAGGAUUGAUUUGUGUGCUGGUGUAUUGACGGAGCAAGAAAGAGAAGCUGGGAAGUGGGAAAGCUGUUAAGCUUGAGCUGGAGCAGAGUCCCCUGAGCUCCUCCUGUAUAUAUACAGGUUAAGGGCUUAGCCACUCAACAAUUCGUAAAUUUGUUUAAGACUUGUCUCUGGUCUGCAGGAAGGGACGACUUGGCUUCGUCACUUGGUCAAGCAGCGCGCUGACACUUUGUCAUCUAGUACUGAGCUGGACUACUAGUCAGCAACGAGAUUAUACUAUGGAUUAUUGCUCGUGCUUAGGAUUGGUGUGCGAACUUGGCGAAGGUCUGCCGAUCAAAUUUGCGGCUCAAAUUGUUUCACAAAUACCGCUCUCGCCGCAAUUCUGUCGACGUACUGACGGUGCUGAUCUUAAAUUCGAGCUCUGAAUUGACAGUGACUUAAAAUUUUACUCUUACACUUGUGCAUCCGCACGCUUCAUCACUGAAGUGAUUAACCCUCGUAUCGUAUUCAGAGAGGUCUCCAUCGUAUCCGUACGUGCGGUCCUGUUUGUGUAUCCAUCUGUAUUAGUUAGUUACUGAUCAAAACGAAAAAAAUACUAUCUUUGGAACGCGAAUUUCAGAUGAUGGUCCAGCGAUGGCGACCUGGGCCAUCAGUUUGGACUGAAGAUCGAGGGAAGGGACAAAGACGGUGACUGGUCGAUUAACAAGUUAUUGUACCAGCCACUCAGAUUACUGACAAGAUUAAUUUAGCAGCCCCGAACAACGUCAUGUCAGCUGAUGACGCAAAAAGAAUCGAAGGGAGUAAAUUACUAAUUAGCAGAGAGCUGAAUAAUCAACGGAGGGGCGAGGCGAGAGUGAUUGUGUUUCAAAACAAAAGACCUUCUUGCAAUUAAGUGAGUCAAAGUCUCAAGGACUCGAGGAUUGGAAUGGCGAACUGAAAGCGAGUGUGCCCGUUCCUUGUCUGACCGACGAUGCUGACAAUCAUCGGAGACGAAGACUUGACCGGAUCACACCGCUGAGUGGGUGUCUUCAGCCUUCUCCUACCGAUCCCCACAGCUCCUACGAAUGAAGGUUACUAACUUACUAUGUACGUUACAUUGUUAAUGCGCAUGCUUACCAAACUAUUAAACGAUGUGCUUUUUAUAAACAUUUUUUAUACGAAAGCUGUUUUAAAAAAUUAUAUUAAUCGAUUAAAACAAAUUAGUUCCCAACCAACGAACGCAGCCAGAGUUAAUGGUUAGUGGUUUGUUUCCUCUUCUCCCUCGCACUCUUUUGCUUUCAGAUAAGACGAUAAAUAAGAACAAAAUUUCCUUCCAUCAACAAGGCCUAUUAGCUCAGCUGGUUAGAGCGUCGUGCUAAUAACGCGAAGGUCGCAGGUUCGAGACCUGCAUGGGCCAGUUUUAAAUUUUCUAUUGUUCAUAUAAUAUUUUGUCAAAAAUAAACAACAUAAAAGUGGGCUGAUUGAUGCGGCCCAACAACUACCAGUAUCCGAGGCCGGCCCGUGCAAAGCUAGGCCCUAUAUAGAUGGAAUCGAACACUUUUGGGAAAAGGUCCACUUGGAAUCCCACUAGUGGCCUCAACAUAUCCAUAUACCUCAACCACAAAUCAGGUAUGACGACUCCGCCAACUAUUAAAACUGUCUAAAAUGAUUUCGUCGGUUUUAAGAGCGGUUUUCGCUGAUGUGGCAGCCUAGUCAUCAAAUAAAUUUUAAAAAAUAAAGUUGAGCUCACAUGUCAUCCCCUAUCUCCACUAACCUCGCUCCCCCUUUCUUCUUCUCGACGCCCAACGCAGCAGGGAGUCGGGACGAUGACGGGAAGCGGCGACAACAGGGCUCUCCUCUCUCUCUGCUACCCCAGCCCCUUCCGCACCACCGGCGCUGGCGAUGAAGUGGCCGACCGAGAGGGAAUGCGGGGUGGCAUAAAGAUGCGGAGUAGCCAAGCGACACCCUCGAUCAUGGUGUCGAGCAUCUUGAGGGUGCAGGGGAGGCUUGAGACCGGGUUGAGUGUGAAGACCUCGUUGGAGCGCUAAGCAAAGGGAGGUCAGCGCUAUGCACCCUCACAACCACAUGCCGAUGUCUUCCCCGUCCUCUAGCAAAUAUGUGUCCCCGUCGGCUCCUCCCACCUGAGAGCUUGCCACCAUCAUUCCGAUGUGCCUUGGUGGCCCGCAUGAGGACACAUAGGAAGGCAUCAAGGAUUCAGAUGGAGGCCAUGGAUCCGAGCCCAAGUUUCGCUCACUGGCUCCCUCAAUCUCGGCUUUCUUGUCGUCUCCCUCCUCUCUUUUGUUGAGCUCGAGUUUGCAAUUCGUUGCCGGAUAGUUUGUUUUUGUGUGUGUGUGUGAGAGAGAGAGAGGAGGGGUGUACCACCGUCGGAUCUAUCUUCCCUAGCCCCGUCAUGCGGAUCAUCAUGGGUGGUCAUCGCCAUCCUCAACCGCAUCGCCGGAGUUCGAGUUCUACAUGGUCGGGAAGAAACCCUACUCAACAUCAACAUAAGAGCAGCUUGGCUGGCCACUCCGCCACCAGUGUCAGGGUAAAAGGGGUUGGGUGUGGGAGAGAGAGGAGAGCCCCGUCGUCGUCCUGGCACCUUGCUGCUGUCAGGCUGAGAAGAGGACAGGGGGAGAGAGGUUAGUGGAGAGAGGGGGAUGAUAGGUGAGUCCCACUUAUUUUUUAAAUUUAUUUGAUGACUGGGACGUCACGUGGAUGAUACGUCAGCGAUUACCACUAUCACACUGCCCUAGGAGUUAAAUUGCUCUGAUUUCAAUUGUUAGGGAUCAAAAUAUCUAUAUUGCGGUUGAGGAUAUGAAUCAGAUUAGACCAAAGUUCGAAUUUGGAAGCGGGGUUGAACUGCAUAAACCCGUGGUCAGCUGACCACAGGCCCGCAAAGCAUGUGUACACAUGUCGCCGUGUUGUUCUAAAUAGUGGAUAAAAACUUGAAAUAAAAACAUUGCAACACAACAAAAGGUCAAAAGCAAAUUAUCCGUGGUGGAUAAAAACUUAAAAACUUGAAAUAAAAAGAGUGAAGUGCACCAGCGGUCCCUAAACUUGUGCGGGUGUGUCAUCUAGAUCCCUGAACUCUCAAAAUGCAUUUUUGGGUCCCCGAACUUGUCUUGCAUGUCAUAUAGGUCCAUCCGAUGACGUGGCAUGCCACGGUGACGCCUACGUGUCGGUGAGGACCCCACAUGUCAGUCAAAUGUAUAAAAAUAAAAUUAAAAACCAUAUUUUCUCCUCUCUACCUCAGCGUCAAACACCACCGCCUCCGCUCACCGACAUGCGCGCGCCGGCCUAUGUGCGUAGGCUCCGUCGGCUCCGCCACACUGGCCUCCUUGCCGCGGGCGAAGCCGCACCCGCCUCGGCCCGGCCAGGCAGCCUCAGCCGGCUCUCCGCGUCGGGCUCCGCCGCCUCCGCCUCCGUGCCGCAAGCGACGCCGCACUCGCCUCGCCCGAGGCCGCUUCCUCGGCACCCUCCGCGCCGCAAGCGACGCCGCGGCUUCUGUUCAAUUAGCCCGCAUAGUUAUGGUUGCAUGCACGGGUGGCAUGCAUUGGAUUCCCAUGCUGCGUGCAUAUGUAGCAUGCAUGGGCGCACGCUACGCGCAUGGCGGCUAGCUCCGCCUAGCACUCCACUGGCUUCAGCCGAGUAACCCGCAUGCCGCUCCACGACCUCCACUCUCGCCUCUCGCCACGGCCAAGGCCGUUCCGCCUCAUCUUGAGCUCCGGCUCGCCGCAAGCGUCGUCGAGGGACCAACUCCGCGCGGGCCACGGAGUCACCUCCGCGUCGGCAAGCCUCUGCGUCCGCGCGCGGCUCCGUCGCUUCCGCGGCCACGCGCGACUCUGCCAACGCCGAGGGGCUCCGGCCGUCGUGGUUGUCCGCCUCGGCGUUGAGCCACGGCUCCGUCGCCUCCACAGCCACGCGCAACUCCUAUGCUGUCGACGUUGCGACCUCGCGCGGCUCGCCGCCGCCGCCGCCACGUGCGACUCCGUCGGCCGCGCGCGGCUACGUCGCCUCCCCACCCAGGCGCGACACAGCAAACCCCUCCACGCGACACGGCGGCCAGACCGCCGCAGCUACUCGCUGGCCUCCGCUCGGUAGCACGUGUAGAUAGAUGCAUGCAGUGCAUGGCCCUAUUCACGUGGCAAGGUGCAGGAGCGUGGCAAUCUGCAGCCAUGCCUGCGUUCGGGGACCUAUAUGACACGCAAGACAAGUUCGGGGACCUAAAAAUACAUUUUGAGAGUUUAGGGACCUAGAUGACACACCCGCACAAGUUUAGGGACCGCUGGUGCACUUCACUCAAAUAAAAACAUUGCAACACAACAAAAGGUCAAAAGCAAAUCAUCCGUGGUCGAUAAAAACUUGAAAAAAAAAGGGAGCCGGCAGGAUGGGCGUGUAGAUUCCGCUUCGUAUGAUUUAAGUCAAACGAUAUUGGCCGAAACCAAUAUGUCCAAGCUUGUGGAGUUGUUCAUCAUCAAACCAGGGUUGGUGGCCAGCCAAAGCCCUGGGAGAGACAACACAGGCCAGGCUUCUGCCCGGAACAGAGCCGGCCUGAAAAGAGCGGCGCACGACAACUUCCCAACCUUGCCAACUCCCCGCCCCCCGUAAGAGCUGGGGAUACAGGCCCGCACCACCAGGCUCGGCGAUGCGAUCACCUCCACGCCCUAUUUUAUCCAGCUCUCGGCCGUAGCAAAUUUUCCGUGUGGGACUAAAAAUUGGUUUACGAGGGGGCUCAUCGUAUACGGUAUACCGUAUACGCAGGUAAUGUACGUCCCCUGCGUCUUACGCAACACAAGCGUGCAUAAUAGUGUGGAUCACGCAGAAACCAAGCCCAUGUUAUUAUUCUAGUUGAAUUAAUUUUGUCAUAUUGUUUUCGGUGCGAUUGAAUCUUGUUUAGCCGAUCGCUUGGAUAUAUGAUGAGGCGAUCGAAUGUUGAUUCAAAGCUACUCCAUCCGUUUCAUAAUGUAAGAUUUUCUAGCAUUACCAUAUUCAUAUAUAUGUUAAUGAAUCUAGACAUGCUAAAAAGUCUUACAUUAUAAAAUGGAGGAAGUAAUAAGAUUAUAAGAAAGAGAUCGAUCGGGUUCUCGUGCACAAGACCAUGUUAUAAUUCUAUUAAGUUUUGUGGUCGAAAGGGUAGUGGUUUUCUUCCUCAACUUGAACAUACAAUUGUGAUUUUGACGACUAGGUUGUGGUUUUACUAGCUCUCGCUUUUACAAAGGAAGCUACGAUUAGGGCGACGCUAAUGGGCGGACCCCCCAAUCCCUCUAUACGUCCUCUCCCCCCUUCCUUCUCCCCUUCUUCUCUUCCUACUACACCAUAAAUUUUAAAAUAAUAAAAAAACAAAUUUAAAAUUUUUAUGUAUAAAAAUACUAUAUAUAAAAAAUAUUUGAAUUCAAAUUUAAAUUUGAAUCAGAUAUAUAAAACUUUUUACUUAUAAACUUUGGGUCUAUAAACUUUAGGUGUAUAGAGAUACUAUAUAUGAAAAAAUUUGAAUUCAAAUUCAAAUUUGAAUCGGGUAUAUAAACUUUUGACUUAUAAACUUUGGGUCUAUAAACUUUAGGUGUACAAACUUUAGAUGUAUAGAAAUACUAUAUAUAAAAAUUAUUUGAAUUCAAAUUUAAAUUUGAAUCGGAUAUAUAAACUUUUCACUUAUAAACUUUGGGUAUAAACUUUAAGCGUAUAAACUUUAUAUGUGUAAACUUUAGGUGCAUAAAUUUUCUAAAAUAGGAAAGUAAUACGGUGCUAAAAAAGAAAAGUGGAGGGAGGGGGGAUUGAUCGCCCGGAGCGAUUGAUCGCUCGUUAGGAUUCUCGCUACGAUUAGCAUCUGUUUUAAAAGUCGUUCAAUAUUAUAGGAGUACUAAGUUAAACAUGCGAUUUUAUAGUUUAAUAUUUGUGACAUUUAUUAGCGGUUUAUGAUCUAUAUCGAUAUGUUUCCUUCCACGAAUAUUUCAGAUACCGUUUUAUGUUUCGGGCUUUACCUUUUUUUUAUUCCGUUUCUGAGCGUUUCCGAGAAUAAGCUUAAGAUAUUCUGGUAAAUAUGACCGGUUGUUUUACGUCCGGUUGUGAUAUGACAACAACCGAUCGAUGUAUGGUUGUUUAUUCAAAGCUCUAUCUGUAUAUUUAUCUAUAUAAUCAUCCAAAAAUUGUUGCUCUUUAGUUUCUCCCCACCCAAAAAACCAUUAUAGUGACGAUUUCUAAUACAUAAUAGAGCUAUUUUCUUAACUGUUACGACUCCCCUUACAGCACCGAUCUAAUUGUAUAAGGCCCUGUUUAGUCCCAAAAAGUUUUUCCCAAAAACAUCACAUCGAAUCUUUGAACACAUGCAUGGAACAUUAAAUGUAGAUUAAAAGAAAAACUAAUUGCACAGUUAGGGAGGAAAUCACGAGACGAAUCUUUUGUGCCUAAUUAGUCCAUGAUUAGCCAUAAGUGCUACAGUAAUCCACAUGUGCUAAUGGCAGAUUAAUUAGGCUCAAAAAAUUCGUCUCGCGGUUUCCAGGCGAGUUAUAAAAUUAGGUUUUUCAUUUGUGUCCGAAAACCCCUUCCGACAUCCGAUUAAACAUCCGAUGUGAUACCCAAAACUUUUCAUAUCGCGAACUAAACAUGCCCUAACUAUGCCAACACUCACUGCUACAGAAACUGGCCCUAGGGAGGGAGGUGAAUGAAUGCAAUGAGUUGAAAGAGAUCAUUGAGCACUUUGAUAUCAGUCAGGGACCUGACAUUCUGAGAUGGGGACAAGCACAAAAAUAACGAAUUUGGACACAGAAGUUGGCCUUGGGCAUGCAGCCAGGAGCAGUAGUAGCAGCAAUGCAGCAACAGCUGUAGCUUGAUGCUUGCUCGUUUAACAGUAACUCCAGUUUGAAUUUUUUUUGCACGAAGCGAACUUGAAAGCAUGUAGUGAAGAUUUUCUAAUGCAUACUAAUACUGCCGCAAAUAUGCCAUGAGAAAAAAGCGUCACAUAUCCAAUCUGAUUUUUCUAAUUCAUACUUAUUUUUCAAAAAGUAUAUUUUUUUCUACAACAACCGCAAAGAGUGUCACAUAUCCAAUCUGAUUUUUCUAAUUCAUACUUAUUUUUUAAAAAAAUAUAAGAAUUGAAAAUGUUUUUAUCAGUAUUUUGGUACGUCAUCUAUAUUUGAGUCGGUUUUUAAAUUCGUUCACUUUUGAAAAUACAAAUCCGUGUUUGAAUUGAAUUUUAAGUUCGUUUGUUUUGGAAAUACAAAAAGAGUCGUAUAAGAAAUCUUAUUAAAAAAACUCACAUGCUAACUUGAGAUGAAAGUCAGACUCCUAAUUGCAGCUCAUGAUUUUCUAAAAAAAAUAUCUAAGCGAAUUCCCACAGUGAAUUUUAUCCUAGCUAAACCGUAUAACAAUAAUAAUAUUAAAACAAUAUUCACCUGUGUCGAUGUUUGAGAUCGUGACUACGGUAUUUUGAUGGUAUGGGGAUUUUUGGUACCAGGGUAUAUGCGAGAUUGAGGUAAAAUAGAUGAAGGCAAUGAUUUUUAUAUAGGUUCGGGCCCCUUAUCUGGUAGGUAAUAAUAACCCUAUAUCUAUUGGCUGAAGCCGGUAUUGCUAUUUAUUCAUCUGGAUCACAUAAGUACACAAGUACAAGUUCCUUUACCAUACUGAAUGCAUGCUUAUUAAUUCAGUUAAUUGCUUUACAUCGAUGUAUCCUGCAUUUGUCCAAGACUACUCGUCCCGCCAGCACACGUGUUCGUAACCCGAGUGAGAGUUGGUAUUCAUGCGUCGCCCCCCGUGUCGGGCGACUCGGGCGGCGGAACCCUAGCCGCCGCCGCCGCCCUUCCCCGCCCCUUCCUCUGCCUUGCCGCCGCCUGAGCGAGCGGCCGGCAAAGCCGGCGGCUCGCGAGGAUGGCGGCGGCGGGGCUCGCGGCGGCCAUCUCCCGAGCUCCUGGCGCGGGUGGACGCAAAGGCAGUGGCCGACCGGAGCGGCGCCGGCGUCGAGGCUCAUGGCGGUGGAUCCGGCGUCACCACCACCGGAUCUGGCGCGCUCGCAGCUGGAUCCGGUCGCGGAGGCGCGGGCACGGCGUCGGCGAGGCGUGGGCGCUGGCGGCCGCGACAGGCGGUGGCAGGCGCAACGGCGGCGCAGGCACGGGCGGUCGGGCGGCGGCGUCAGUCGCGACGGCGGAGCAGGCGCGGGCGGCCGCGGCAGGCUCGGAGGCGCGGCUGCUGUGGCCGGCGGCUCGAUGCCUGGCGGCGACGGCAGCGGUGCCCCCAGAUCCACGCCUCUCGGCCGGAUCUGGAGGAUGGGAGUAGUCGGCAACGGCGGCGGUGGCAAUUGGCGACGGCGGUCUCGGCCGGAUCUGGACGCCGGUGGCAGUUGGCGACGACGGCGACGGUGUGGUGACGGCGGUGGCGGCGGCACUGGGCCAGCGGCAGUUGGCGACGGCGGUGUCGGCUGUGGUGGCUGCCGUGUCAUCUGGCAACGGCGGCGGAAGACAUGGCGUCGGGCUGCUAGCUGUUCGGUGGUGGAGGGCGACGGCGCAACAGCGAUUUGCAGAGGCGGUGGUUGGCGUCGGUGGCAGCGGCGACGGCGGCUGUGACUCUGGAGGUGGUGGCGACGUCGGCGGCGGGGAAGGAGUCGGGGGCGAGGUGGCUGGGUGUUCGGGAGCCAAGGAUGUGGUGGUGGUGACCGUGUUUGCGGUCACCGGAGGCAUGGCGGCCUUGGUUGACUAGCCGAGGGCGUGGGAGACGGCUGCAGCUGGCCGGCGCGGUAUCGUUCGGUGGAGGGGUCGGAGACCGGCUUGGCGCAGAGAAGCGCAGCCGAUGGCAGCGGAGGCCGGCUCGGCGCGAGAGGCGCGGGCGGCGGAGAUGGAGGCCGGCUUGGCGCGAGAGGCGCGGCCGAUGGAGGGAGGCCGGAUUGGCGCGAGAGGCGCGUCCGGUGGAGGAGGCCGGCUUGGCGCAGAGAGGCGCGGCCGGCGGUGGAGGAGGCGACCUAGGUAUGAGGAGGAGUUGCCGGUGGGUGUGGCGCGGUCUUCGGCGCACGAAGGCUGGUCGGCGGGGGACGCCGGUGCAGGGGUCCCACAUGUCGGCAAAGCUUGUGCGGUGGUGGAGCAUCGGUGCGCCAGCCGUGCCUUUGUUGGUCUAGUGGCGGUCGGCCACGCUUAGCGGCGGCCGAUCCGGUACUAGUCUUCUCCUGGGCGUGUGUGUUGGCGAUGUCGUCGUGUGGGUGGUGGUAUUUUUUUCUUUUCCUGGUUACGACUCUCCAUGGUUGUAAUCUUGUACUUUUUUCCUGCUCUAUCAAUAGAACUUCGCACCGUCUCGUGCGAGUCGUUAAAAAAAAAGAGUUGGUAUUCAUGAUAGGAUAUAUCAAUCAUUCCAGCGUUAGUUAUAAGAGAUUAAGAGUGCGGCGAAAAAUUAAUUACUAUAUGACAUAGCAGCACUGCUCUUUAUUUCAUAGUACUAUAUAUAUAUAUAUAUAUAUAUAUAUUAUUACUGCAGCACAAGCCACACACUGAUGACGACACACACUUUAUAGAAAAGAAAAGAACAAAGAAGGAAAAUACCAAAGACACGACUAGCACACACGCGCAUAUACAUAGCCUUACAGGAGCGCACAGUGUAACUCGUCCUCUCCAUGAUCAGCCGUGUAUGUACGUACGUAUUUUUAUUCCUUUACUUAUUGAGAAACAAUAUAUAUAUUUAUAGUAGAUAUAGUAGUUGUUUGAUUCAUGGUUGAGCAGUGGAUCAGUGGUUGGAGCUAUAGCUAGCUCCGGCUUAGCAGCAGCGGAAGCACUCGCCGUGGUGGCCGCGGUGGCAGCAUCCCCAGCGACAGCCAUGGCGCCACGGGUCGUCAUGGCGCCACGGGUCACGGCCUGGGUAACCGCCGUUCCACGGCGGGUAGUGGCCAUAGCCUGGUGGUCCGCCGCCACCACCCCCACCACCACCGCCCUGCUUGUUGGCCUCUGCAAACCCGGAUCGAUGAAACGUUUAAAUAGUUGAAUGCACCGAUCAAUUUAACUUAAAAAAUCAAACUAGCCAGAAAAUAUGCAUGCAUAGAAUACCGAUAUAUAUAAACUUGUGUGCACAUAUGUUAGCUGCUACCUAACCUGAAAUUAAAUAUAUAAACGAACGUAUGUAUGCAACAUGUAGGUUCAAAAGCUAUCAAUAGUGUAUAUAUAUGCAUGCGAUCGUGCGUGAGAAAAAAAAAAGAUCAAUUAUACAAGCUACUCCGUAGAUCAUAACUACGUAUAUAGCUAGAGAUCGAAGCUGUGUCUACCGGAGAUUCGAUCAAAAUCUUAUUCCUUUUGUUUUCUACGGAAAGGUAAACUGUAAACAUCAUAUAGCGUAUAUAUCAUAUAAGUAUAUAUAGUGUGUGUGCUCACGAGGGUCCUGGGCGGAGGCGACGAAGCAGAGCGCAGCAACGAGCAGAAGAGCGAACACGAUGAUAGCCUUACGCGCCAUGUAUACUAGCUUAGAUCUUUUUGAUGAUCUGAGAGAUAUCCUUACUGAUCACUUGUUACUAGCUGUGAACCUGUGAUGAACUGAUGAGAAGGUAGUAUAUGCAAACCAAACGUAUUUAUAGGCAGAUAAUGAAGGCUGCUGAUUCGGCCUGACCGUGGGUUCGAUCGAUCGAGUAGUUGAUGACAGUAGAGCUCUAGCUCGUUGACAUUAACGUACUCAUCAAUCUAUAUAUCUAUAUAGUAUAUUCUAUAUACUUUUUGUGUGUGGAAGAAGAAAUGCAUGCCAUCAAGUUGACUCUGUAGCUAGCUUUAAUUUGUGUCUGCUAGCUCACUCGGUAAAUCCAAUUGUAUAUAUGGAUUUUCACAAGAUUGUUUAAUCGUGGCAGCCAGUCGAAAGCGUCAAAUAUGAGUAGACGACAUAUAGAAAGUUUUUGCCAACCUUGUCUAGACAUACUUCUUAAUUAAUUUACUAAGAAUGCAAGAGAGAUAAACUCAAGUGCCAAAAAGUCAAAAUAAGAAGGCCGAAAUGUUGAGCUUUUCUGUAAAUAAUUCUCGACUCUAGACACACGAUAUCUUCUUUUGAGUUAUGUUACUGAUGAUAGGGACGAUUGACUUUGCUUCCAGCUAUCCGAUCGAUUGUGAUUUGGUUUUUAGUUUUGUUGGUGUUUUCCGUUUGUUUUUAUGGGCAAUUUGAUCCUCCUGAAUGUUUCAAGGCGAUGCAUGCAUGUGUGUAUUUAUGUUCAAACUUUUGCUUAGUUAGUUAUAGGUUAUAGGUCAUAAGUGAAGUCAAUUACCGGUAUGUACGUUAAAAAAAUAGAGUAAAUUUUAUAAAAUCUCAUCUAUUAUAAUCCAAGAUACUAAUAAAAUAAAUUUUACUAUACUUGAGAAAGUAUCUUGAGAUAUCAAAAUUUUACACUAAAAUUUUUAGUACCUUAAGAUACUUAUUAUUACCUCCGUUUUAGGUUAUAAGAAGAUUCAUUAACAUCUAUAUGAAUGUGGGCAAUGCUAGAAAGUCUUAUAAUAUGAAACGGAGGAAGUAGUACAUAGAGAUACCAAAUUUUACACUAAAAAAUAUGGUACCUCUAGAUACCUUCUCAAGAAUAGUAAAAUUACCCUACUAACAAUAGAGAUUUUAGCACGUGAACCAUAACCCGGUUAGUAUGAUCCUAAAGUUUUAUAAAACCAUACCAUUAAUCAUUGUGACAUACUACUAUAUCAAAAAUUUUAAAAGCGAAUGUGACAUUUAUAUGAAUAAAACUACGGGAAAACAUUUUGAACACGCACCUGGAAUAAUUUCUCUGACAUUUGUUGCCAAAUCAAAAAAUAUCAUUAAAAUACCGAAGAAUAAAAAACCGCCCGACCAGCCAGAGACUUUUACCACUACCUUGACGAUGCUCCGGGCUCCGGCAGUUGGACUCGAUCAACAACCAAAAUCAACACGGAAUAUUUUGGUGCGUACGGAUCGUACCUUUUUCAUGAAAAAUUCCUGACGUACAAAUUCAAAUUCCGAAUGCGCAGGCACCCCGUCUCGAAAAGAAGAUUAGAAACGUUUCAGAUUCAGUGGGUGAGAAAGGUUAAAAACUCUAAAAAAAAAUAGCAGGCCGUGCAUGGGCAGCCCAGCCCAUUCAUGCUGCGGCCGGUAUGCAGGUGGCCUUUUACUUGGGGGAAAGUCCACUAUACAUCCCUCAAUUGUGCACCGAGUUUUAUUCAUGUCCCUCAAUCACAAAACCGGUUAUAAAGUAAUAAGUGCAAAUCAACUUUCUCGAUGGUUUUAGCUGACAUAGCACGGCGGUCGUGUGCAGAACCAGUGCUUUUGGUUGUUUGCUUCUUGAGUUACUACCUUACUUAUUUUGAGAUGUUCUUGAAUUUCCCCAAAAAGAAAAAAAAAUAGAGAUGUUCUUGAGAGUGCAAGGUCAAAUUAAAGCCAAUAACAUCAUCGAUUCGGCUACAAAAAUUGAACUGGAUUCUUGCAUGGAAAAAUUAACAUGGGCCAAGUUUCUAAAGUGAUGGCAAUAGCAAGAUCAGUAGCAGGGCUGGGAUCGUGAGCUCAAGUACACAAUACAACCAACUGAGAACCUGAUCGAUUGGAUCCCGAUGACGCGCUGGUGGCGCCGUUCGCUACCCCACGACCACGUCCACUAGCCCGUGUUGGCAGUCGUAAAACUUAAAUAUACCAUAAACACCUUCCAUUCUUUGCGUAAUAUAUUACAAACAUAAACAUCGGGACCAACAAUCCGUGUUCACCACCAGAACUUAUCGUUUCUUUGCCGGGACCACAUCGUUGCCGCCCGCGUUCCUGUUGUUUUGGUUUUCUUCGUUGCCAACCGUAGCGCGUUCAAGAAAAAAGGAACCCCAUCAUCCGGAAUUCGAACUCAAGAUCUCUCACAUCAACCCACACGUGCAUUACCAUCCCACCAAAUACGCAUAUAUGACUUGGAUAGAGAUGCUUUCUUUUUAAACUAACCCUGGAGGGAUUUUUAGUAAUGGUUGUUACUAAAAAUAUAUUUAAUCCAGCUUAGUGUUAUCAACCGGUACGUAAGUAGCCUUGCAAGAGUGCACACAAUUACCAGCACAUGUACGUAGUACCUGUAUUUUCUCUCCAAGUACGUAUAUUUAUUCAUUUAUUGUCAGAACAUACACUAAUUGUAGAUAGUAGUUGUCACUGAUAGAUCAAUUCGGCCUCAUGAUCUCUGUGGAUUGGUGGAGCUAAGCUAGCUAUGGCUAGCCCCGGCGCCACCUUAGCAGCAGCGGUGGCAAUCUCCCCAGUAGCCACGGUGGCAGCACCCCCAACGGCAGCCGUGGUUGUGCCAGUGCGGGUCGUGGUGGUGGCCUGGGCCUGGUGGGUAGUAACCUCCGUUCCAUGGUGGUUAGUAGCCGCCGCCGCCACCACCAUCUCCUCCUCCGCCGCUGCCGCCACCGCCACCGCCACCGCCUCCUCCUCCUCAGCCGCCGCCGCCACCGCCACCGCCGCCUCCCUGCCUGUUGGCCUCUGCAUGCACAGAUGGAUGGGCGUACAUCAUAUACGUAUACUUAUGGAACAUUGAUCGAUUUAAACAUGUGCAGAGUGAUAACCAACUAAACAUAUAUAUAAAAGAAACGAAGUAUGCAAUAUGUAAAAGCUAUAUAUGUUCUUCAAGAUAUAUGUGCAGAUGUAAUUUGCUUGAAGAGUUGAGGGUGUACAUGCAAAUGCAAACAUAUAUAGAUAUGCAGCUAGCUAGUGUGUGCGCUCACGAGGGUCUUGGGCCGAGGCGACGAAGCAGAAAGCAGCAACGAGGAGAAGGGUGAACACGAUGAGAGCCUUACGCACCAUGUAUAUAUGCUAGUGCUAGGUAUUUUGUUUGAUCUCUGAUAACACUGAUGACUGAUGAGAAAGUUGGACGCAAAUUAACCAAGCGUAUUUAUAGGCAGAAUGAAAGCUGCUGAUCGUGGAUUCGAGGUCGACACCGAGUAAUUGAUGACGAUAUAUCAGCUCUAGCUAGCUCGUUGACACUCUCAACUCGAUCAUCGAUUUAGCUAUAUAUUCAGAAUGUUGCGAGUGGAAGGCAUGCAUCUCUGCCAUCAAAUUUACAAGUCAAUUGACUGUGUAGCUAGAUUUGGUCGGAUUUCACAAACUCCGGACGCUAGCAGUUCAAACGUACUAUAUAUGUUAAUAUUCUAGCUCACUCGGUAAAUCCAAUUGUAUAUGGAUUUUAACAAGGUUUAAUAUAUCGUACCAUGCGUGCACCCAUUUGAAAAAGUCAAAUAUGAGUAGACGAUAGAAUGUUUUUGCCAGUCCUAUCUAAGACAUACAUACAUGUUCCUAAUUAAACCCCAAGUGUCUAAAGUCAAAAUAAGGCGGCCGAAAAGUAGAGCUUGCUGUAAAUAUAAUUCUUGGCUCCAGACGUACGAUAAUCUUCUUUUGAGUAAUGCUACUGAGAUAGGAAUGAUUGACUUUGCUCCCAAACUACCCGAUCGAUUGUGGUUUAUUUGGUUUUAGCCCUUGUUGUUGUUAAUUUUCCGUUUGUUUCGAUUAGAGAAUUUUUACGGUAUAAUAUACUAAUAUAUACCUAAGUAUAAACGAUCUAACGGUGUAGAUUGAUCGAUCUUCCACUUAAAUAGAAUGUAGUAUAAAAUAUAUAAGGGUAAAUUUGUCUUCCUCGUUAAUUUAGAUUUGGAUAUGGCUCAAGUCUUUUUUUUUUAGGUGAGCCAUUUAAACGCUUUAUCUAGUGCUAGUAUUCCAAGGAAGAGUUCAAAUUCAGAUCAAGCCAUAAUCUAGUUAUUGUCAAUUUUUUGAUACAUGUAGCAAGGCAUAAAUUCUUAUUAGUCCUUAUUUAAAAGGCACACUCCGACUUCGUGGUUUUAGCCGUAGGACACCGCCCGAACUCACUUUUGAGGGAAAACACUCUAUAAUGAUAAUUUGCCAAUGGACACCGCGCCGAUUAGAAUAAUAAUCCCCGGUUGAAGUUUCGAGCGUUCUUUUCCUACGUACAUUGAAACAAGUGAACUAGUCGAGGUCUACUGGAGUUUCAUAAUCCAUCCUAGCUUUUACCUCAUGUGAGCUUGUCAGGAGUAACAUCCUAUGGAAUGGUCACAUUUGUCCUCCAUGAUCUCAAAAAUCGAGAUACAACAAAUGACAUUUGCAUCAGAGAAGUGAAACAGUGAUGCAGAGAUUCACAUUCUCAUAAAACAAUUUGCAUCAGUGAUACAGGGCUUCAAAUUCUCAGACAUUACAGACAUCUUACAUCUUACAGCAAGUGGAAGAGUAUUUGAUUUCUUCCGAUUGACGUUAUCCAGACAUUACAGACAUAAUUCUAAUUUUUCAUACAAACAGAGAACUCCAUGCUUUUUUUCUGAAAAACAAGCUGAAAAAGCUUUGGACUACUUCAGUAACUUGAGCUAGCCAAGCUAACUUAUGCUAAUUAAUUCCUCAUUGAACUGGCUGAUUUCUCAUGUACUCUGAGCACUAUGACAGAUUCAGAGUUGGGAGUUGAGAGCAAAGGCAACAUCUGAAACUGGUUAUGUCUGAAAAACUGAAUUUGUUGCAGUAGAGGGUUAGCUGAAUAAAAGUUUCAUGGAAGGAGAGAAGAAAACAAAAUGCGGUGUGUACAUGUGGUUUGGUGUCUUGAGUGGCUCAGGUACCAACAUGGUUAAGUUCAAAUCGAGAGUUUUGCAACUCCAUCUUUCUAUUAAAAAUAAAUCAAAUCUUUAUAAAUCCUGCUCACUUCUUCUAAAUUCUUCAAUUAGAUAUAAAGUACUCCAUCAGCUAGCAACAACAAACGCAGAAGCAGAAGGAGAUGAGAAGCCCUGCUUGGUCUCCUGUCGAACGGCAAGAACGACGAUGUCAUAUCUGCAAUACUGCUUGGUCUCCAGCCGAGCGGCAAGAAUAACAAUGGCAGCAGGCAGCAAUGGCCCCGCCGCCCGGCUCCCUCUGUGCCUUGCUGCUGCCCCUCCCCUAGCAUGUAGUGCCGCAUGGUUGCUGCUGGCCAGCCGCUCACUCCCUGCGCGCCUCGCCGCCCCGCGCCGCCGCUUCGAGCCCUCACUCUUGCUCGCUCCACCGCUCGGGGUGGGCUCCGAAUCCCACCCCGGAUAGGAGUACAACGGCAGUGCGCGGGAGCUAGGUGGCGGCGGAGGAGGAGGCAGCGGCGAGCAGGGUUCCCUUACUGUUUUUGGCGUGGUUACCGGACCCCGUGGUAAGGUGGUUACCGCAGUUACCGCGAUAACCGCGAGACAUACCGUGAUUUUAAAAACUGAAAAGGUUAUCGUGCAUAGUAACCGCGAUAACCGCGUUGUAACAACGCGGUUUCGUAAACCCUGGCGGCGAGUCUGGUUGCGAGGAGGACGAGGCGACAGUGUAAUAGUGGUGAGACGGAGGGCAAAGACGGAAAUUAGCCAACGCUAUGAGGAGGGCUGAACUGGUAGCGCAAAUAUAACAAUUUCAGAAUGAACUAGAGCAUCAACUAACAAAACGGAGGGAGUAUAUAUUAUUACAUCACAAAGCCACACACUGACGAGACAUCGACACAUACAAGGAAAAAAAAGAAAAAUACAACAAGACACGACUGUCACACACGCACGCGCACGUACGUACAUAGCCUUGCAGGAGUGCACACAGUACUAUAACUGUGUGUUUCUAGAUCAGCCGCACGUAUGUGUACGUGUAUUUAUUCCUUUAUUAUUUACUACUUAUUAAUCAUAGUAGAUAGUAUGUAAUUGUGUCACCGAUCGACAUGGUUGAUCUUGAGCUGUGGAGUGGUGGAGCUAUAUAGCUUAGCAGCAGCGGAGGCACUCCCCCCAGUGGUUGCGGUGGCCGCAGCACCCCCAACGGCAGUGGCCACCGGGACCAGGGUGAGGGCGGUGGUCCCAUGGCCGGUCAGGGCGGUCCCACGGCCGGUCGGGACGCCCUGGGUAACCGCCGUUCCACGGCGGGUAGUGCCCGUAGCCUGGUGGUCCGCCACCACCCUGCUUGUUAGCCUCUGCAUGAACGUACAAAUAUUUAUUUAGUUCAUGCAUGGAUGAGUUUAACUCAAUAACUUAAAACUAAUUAGAAAAUAUGCAUGUAUGUAAUAUUGAUACAAACGGCUCAUCGUUUGGCUUAUUUAGGGAAUAAGCCAAAUGGCAUAUUUGCAAACGAAAAAUAGUUUGUGAAUAAACGUAUUUUUAGCGACCUAGAAGCAAAUGCUAACAAAUAAACUUUGACAAAAAAAAUCCUAAAAUCAGCUCUGAAUUUAAGGUUGAAAAUUCUAAUUUUAACUGAUAAGGAUAAACAUAAGCGAAAAGCUGAGGCUGAAACACGCGUACAUGCAUAUUAGUAGUUAGGAAGUUGUUUUUUUAUGGGACGGAGUAGUAGAUGUUAGCUGCUACUCCCUCCGUUUCGAAAUGUUUGACACCGUUGACUUUUUAGCAUAUGUUUGACCGUUCGUCUUAUUCAAAAACUUUUAUGAAAUAUGUAAAAUUAUAUGCCUACACGAAAAUAUAUUUAACAAUAAAUCAAACGAUAGGAAAAUAAUUAAUAAUUACUUAAAUUUUUUGAAUAAGACGAACGGUCAAACAUGUAUUAAAAAGUCAACGGCGUCAAACGAUUCGAAACGGAGGGAGUACUUAUACGUACCUAACCUGAAAUUAAGUGUAUAUGUAUACAAACGAGCGCAUAUAUCACAUAUUCAACAUGUGAAUUAAAGCAUGCAUGCAUGUACGCCUUCAUUCAUGUGUGAGAAAUAAAAAUAAUGAGUGUGCUCACGAGGGUCUUGGGCGGAGGCGACGAGGCACAAAGCAGCAACGACGACAAGAGCGAACACGAUGAUAGCCUUGCGCGCCAUUUUUUGAUCUGAGAUCGUUACUGAUUAAUUGUUACUAUUAGCUGCCAAUGUGUGAUGACUGAUAAGUGAUGAGAAGACAGGGCAUGCAAACCAAGCGUAUUUAUAGGCACAAUGAAGCUAGGUUUUGCUGAUCCUGAUCGAUCGAGUAGUUGAUGACAGUAGAGCUCUAGCUCGUUGACACUCAACUUGAUCGUGAUCUAUCUAAUUAAUUCUAUAUUUUUUUUAUGAGUGGAAGAAUUGCAUGCCGUAUCAAGUUGACUGUGUAGCUAGCUUUAAUUUGCGUCUGCUAGCUCAAUCGGUAAAUCUGUUGAAUAUAUGGAUUUUCACAAGAUUGUUUAAUCGUGGCAUCCACUCGAAAGAGUCAAAUAUGAGUAGACGACAUAUAGAAAGUUUUUGCCAACCCUACCUAGACAUGCAUACAUACAUACAUGUUCCUAAUUAAUUUACUAAUAAGAAUGUAAGAGAGAUAAACCCAAAUGUCAAAAAGUCAAGAUAAAAAAAAGGCCGAAAUGUUGAGCUUUGCUGUAAAUAAUCCUCGACUCUAGACACACGAUAUCUUCUUUUGAGUAAUGUUACUGAUAGGGAUGAUUGACUUUUUGCUUCCAGCUACCCGAUCGAUUGUGAUUUUGUUUUAGCUUUGUUGGUGUUUUCCGUUUGUUUUUAUGGGGAAUUUGAUCCUCCUGAAUGUUUCAAGGCGAUGCAUGCAUGUGUGCCAUAUAUGUUCAAACUUUUGCUUAUUUAGUUAGAAGGUCAGAAGUGAAGUACAAUUACCGGAAUCUACGUUCAAAAAAAUUAAGAGAGUAAAUUUUAUAAAUUAAGGCCUUGUUUAGAUCCCAAAAAUUUUUAGCCAAAAACGUCGUUUGGACACAUGUGUGGGACAUUAAAUGUGAGGAAAAACAAUUGCACAGUUUGCAUGUAAAUUGCGAGACGAAUCUUUUGAGCCUAAUUACGCCAUAAUUUAACAAUAUGAUGCUAUAGUAAACAUUUGCUAAUGAUGGAUUAAUUAGACUUAAUAAAUUCGUCUCGCAGUUUACAGGCGGAAUGUGUAAUUUGUUUUGUUAUUAGUCUAUUUUAAUACUUGAAAUGUACGUUCGUACGCUUCAAAAACUUACACCCAAAGAACUAAACACACCCUAAAUCUCACCUAUUAUUUCAACAUACAAACAAUAGAGAUUUUAGCACGUGACAUUACAAACAAGUAUGGUCUUAAAGUUUUAUAGAACCACACCGUUAAUCAUUGUGACAUAUUUCUAUAUUAAAAUUUUAAUAAGUGGAUGCAACAUUUAUACGAAUGGAACUACGAGAGAACAUUUUGAACACUCACCUGGAAUAAUUUCUCUGACAUUUGCUGCUAAACCAAAAAAUAUCAUUAAGAUACCAAAGAAUAAGAAACGGCCCGAGCGGCCAAAGAGACUUUUAAUAGUACCACCUUGACGAUGCUCCGGCAGUCACUACGUACAUAAUAGAUUUUUCUGGACCUCCCCUCCCCUCCUCCCCCCCCCACGUCCGUUUUGUUUUCAUGCGGUUCGUAACUGAAACCGCAUAGAAAAAUAGGAAACGGGCAACAGGCUGUCUCCCGUGCGAGCGGCUUAAGCCAACCGCAAACUCCGCACAGGCCCACCAUUUAACCCGGCCACCCACCUCCCACCGCCCGCUCCACCUCCCUCUCUCCCACUCUACUCCACUCCACUCCUCUCCUCUCCUCCCACUCUCCUCUCCUCUCCUCUCUCUCCCUCAGUGCACGGCGCGCCCCUCCCUCCCUCUCCCUCCCCUCCACAACGACAGCACGGCGCGCGGCGGCGGGCAAAGGGGCCGGCGGGAGGAGAGCAGGCGGCAACUGCGGCGGCGGCGGCCGCCACCGCGGGCGACAGCGGCGGCGGCACGCCCCCCCUCCCUUCCCCCUAGAAGGUCCGGCGGAGGGGGGGCUUGGGGGUGGCGGAUCCGGCGGCGCGUGGUGGGAGGAGAGCACGCGGCAGCGGCGGCGUGCCCCCUCCCCUCCCUCCCCAUGCAUAUCCGGCGGAGGGGGGGCUUGGGGGCGACGGAUCCGGCGGCGCCGCCCCCUCCCCUCCUUCCCCUUGUAGAUCCAGGGGAGGGGGCGGCGGAUCUAGCCGGCGACGCGCGGCUCUCCUCCCCUCCCUUGCAGAUCCGGCGGAGGGGAGGGGGACCGGCGGAGCGACCGGCGACCGGAUCUAUCUCUCCCCCUCCUCUCUUUGUUACUUGUGUUUUUUGUGUGUGAUUUGUUCAUGUGAGAUGUGUUCAUGUGAUGUGUUCUUGUUGAUGUGUUCUUGUGAGAUGUGAGAUGUGUUCUUGUGAUGUGUUCGGCGGCGAGCGACCGCGAGGGCGACGGUGGCGGCGGGCGACCGCGAGGGUGACGACGGCAGGCCUCGGCUAGGCGACGGCGGAUUAGGGUUAAGGUUAGGGUUCCUUUUUUCUUUUUUUUUGGUUUCUUAUUUUUCUCCGUUUUCGCGUGCGGGCGCGCCACCCGUACGCGAAAAUCGCGUUUUUCCCCGACGACUGGGUGCGUGCGGGCCGUCCACCCGCAUGCGAAAAUUGGCUAGCCCGCACGGAAAAAUUGGUGCUGUAGUAGUGAGUUGGACUCGAUCAACAACCAAAAACAACACGGAAUUUAUUAAUCAAGCUAGCCGGUCACAUCAACUUUUGGUGCGUACGGAUCGUACCUUUUUCAUGAAAAAAUCCUGACGUACAAAUCCAAAUUCCGUAUGCGCAGGCACCCCGUCUCGAAAAGAAGAUGUUAAAUUGCUCCAGCUGACAGCACAGGGGUGGUGAUGGAGAAACAUUUCAGAUUCAGUGGAUGAGAAAGGUUAAAAACUCUAAACAAAAAUAGUAGGCCGGUCAUGCAUGGGCUACCCAGCCCAGACAUGAUGCGGCCGGUAUGCAGGUGCUGUUUUUUUCUUUUACUUGGGGAAAAGUUCACUAUACAUCCCUCAGUUGUGCACCGAGUUUUAUUUAUAUCCCUCAACCACAGAACUAGUUACAGAGUAACCAGUGCAAAUCGACUUUCUCGGCAAUUUUAGCUGACGUGAUGCGGGUGGCUUUGUGCAGAACCAGUGCUUUUGGUUGUUUGCUUCGAGUUACUACAUUACUUCUUUUGAGAUGUUAUUGAAUUUCCCCAAAAAGAAAAAAAAAAAGAUAUUCUUGAGAGUGCAUGGUGAAUUUAAAGCCAACAACAUCAUCGAUUCAGCUACAAAGUUGAACUGGAUUCUUGCACGGACAAAUGAACAUGGGCCAAGUUUCUUAAGUGAUAGCAAUAGCAAGAUUCAAGUAGCAGGGCUGGGAUCUUGAGCUCAAGUACACAAUUAGGGUGAAAAAGGUAACGGAAAUUCCCGGCCGACCGGUGUUCGUUUCCGACUUUAUACCGGCCGAGCCAUACGGAAAUGGUAAUCGACCAAAAAAAUAUAAAAAUGGUAAAAAAUAUGGAAAUGAAAACGGAAAUGGUUUUGCGGUUAUACCGAUCGUUUCCGUAUUUACCGUAUUCUUAUGAAAAUUAUUGUUUCUUAUAAUAUGGUAAAUAGCGUAUUUCUAAAUAUAUUGAUAUAUAUAGGGCAUGUCUCUACUUGACCCACAGUUUAGAGAUUGAUUGACUCUUCAAUCAAAUCCCUAAUUUGAGUGCAUGGCUAAAAUGGAGUUAAUUUAUAAUUUAUACAGUAUAGCUUGAAUUUAUUUGUACAUAUAACAUACUUAUGUAAAGUUAAAUAUAUGUUUUCUAUAGUUUAAUGUUUUCGUAUUUGUUACCGGUUUCCGAUCUGUACCGACAUGUUUCCAUCUAUAUUAUUCUGUUUUCGGUUUUCCGAUAUUUCCGAUAUCGUUUUCGUUUCCGACCUUACCGUUUUCGAUUUCAUUUCUGAGAAAAAUAUUAUUAUGGAAAUGGUUGAGGCUGUUUUCCAAACAUUUCCUACCGUUUUCAUCCUUACACAAUACAACCAACUGAGAACCUGAUUGGACCCCGAUGACGCACUGGUGGCGCUGUUCGCUGCCCCACGACCACGUCCACUAGUCCGUGUUGGCACUUGGCAGUCGAAAACUUAAAUAUACCAUAAACACCUUUUAUUCUUGCAGUGUAAAAUAUUCCUAACAUAAAUGCUCACAUAAACGUUGGUACCAGUAAUCCGUGUUCACCACUAGAGCUUGCCAUUUCUCUGCCGGGACCACGAUGCUGCCGCCCGCGUUCCCGUUGUUUUGGUUUUGUUCAUUGCCAACCGUAGCGUGUUCAUUGAAAACGACACCUCAUCAUCCGGAAACGUGUUUUGACGCACUCACCCGGCCGUGUUCACCACUUGAGCUCGUUGUUGUCGUUUCUCUUUCUGUUAAGACCACAUCACCCACUAGUGAAGAAACGAUAUUUAAUACCGGUUGGAAACCCCCUUUAGUACCGGUUGUAGCAACCGUGACAAGCAAAUAGGCACUAAAGAUCUCGAUCUUUAGCCAGUUAAAUAACCGGUACUAAAGAUGCAUACCAAGUCAUAAAGACGUGUGAGAUGUGGGAUUCGAACUCAAGAUCUCUCAUCUCAACUCUCACACGCAUUAUUAUCCUACCUACUACACACAUAUGACUUGGAUAGAGAUACUUUCUUUUUAAACUAACCAUGGAGGCAUCACCAACCGGUACUAAAAAUAAUACCAGCCGAGACUAAAAAUGUUUCCAGGGACAUGGACUACUUUAGUACCGGUUCUUAAUCUAGCCAAAAUAUUUGUGAUUUUGGUUACCACGAUGAAAGAUCAGUUCUCUAGUAUUGGUUGUCGGCUGCAUUUCCGUUGUUUUGGUUUUCUUCGUUGCCUAUUGCCGUUCUAUGGACAAGUCACAUCGCGUGGGACACAUCCGGCCACCUUCCUUACCGUUGUUUGGUGAAUUGGAAAAAUUUUAAUGUGUCAAAGAAACGGGUACCCGUUCCUAAAUAAUGGAUCUAAUUUUCAUAUGGUUUAAAAUAAGUUUUUUUUAUUUCUAGCUAAUUUUCAGUUGUUUUUUCUAUUUACAAUAUUAGUUUUACUAUUUGAUCAAAUAAAAAUUGUUGGAAACUAUAAUUUUCCUUCGUAUUGAAUUAUUUGUAGCUAAAUGAAAAAAAUGAGCCUUUAGCACUAUAUUGAAUUAUCGUUUCGGCCAAAGUUAUUUGUAGUUCCAUGUUGUUAUUUCUAUAAUUAUAUUAUGUUCAUCAUUUAUGCCCAGUUGUAGUAUAUAAUUUAGGAUUUUAAUUUAUGUCAAUGAAUGUUAUUUAGAACCCAUUGCAAUGCAAGGGAAUUACACUAGUUAAAUAUAUAAGUGACUGAAGAGAUUGGAGAGGAAAAGUAGAUACCAAGAUACGAUACGUAAGUAGCCUUGCAAGAGCGCACACAGUUACCAGUACGUGUACAUAGUAUCAGUGUUUUCUCUCCAAGUACGUACUGUAUAUUUAUUCAUUUAUUGACAGAACAUACACUUAUUGUAGAUAGUAGUUGCCACUGAUAGAUCGAUUAUUCAGCCUCAUGAUCUCUGUGGAUUGGUUGAUGGAGCUAGCCACGCCGCCUUAGCAGCAGCGGUGGCAAUCUCCCCAGUAGCCGCGGUGGCAGCACCCCCAACGACAGCCGUGGUUGGGCCAGUACGGGUAGUAGCCUGGGCCUGGGGGGUAGUAGCCGCCGUUCCAAGGAGGGUAGUAGCCGCCGCCGCCUCCUCCUCCUCCUCCUCCGCCGCCUCCGCCUCCGCCUCCGCCGCCACCCUGCUUGUUGGCUUCUGCAUGCAUGGAUGGAUGGGCGUACAUCACAUACGUAUACUUAUGGAACAUCGAUCGAUGCAAAUUAAUCAUACGUGAAGAGAGUGAAAACUAACUGAACAUAUAAAAAAACGAGCGUAUGCAAUAUAUAAAAGCUAUAUAUGUGCAGAUCGAUGUUUGCUCGAAGAGUUGAGGUGUACAUGCAUUUGAUCUUAAUUUAAUCUAUUUUUCUACGCAAAGGUAAACAUAGAUAUGUAGCUAGCUAUAGUGUGUGCGCUCACGAGGAUCUUGGGCCGAGGCGACGAAGCAGAAAGCAGCAACGAGGAGAAGGGUGAACACGAUGAGAGCCUUACGCGCCAUCUAUGCUAGGUUUUUUUUUUGUUUGAUCUAAUAACCGAUGACUGAUGAGAAACUUGGACGCAAACCAAGCGUAUUUAUAGGCAGAAUGAAGGCUGCUGAUCGUGGAUUCGAGGUCGAUGGAGUAGUUGAUGACGAUAUAUCAGCCCUAGCUCGUUGACACUCUCAACUCUCGAUCAAUCUAGCAAAUUAACAUCUGCAACAUAGUAUGCAUUCCUGCCAUCAUGUUAAUUGACUGUGUAGCUAGAUUUGGUCGGAUUUAACAAAGUCCAGUAGCUAGUACGUACAAACGUAAAUCCAAUUGUAUAUGGAUUUUGACAAGGUUUAAUAUAUUGUGCCAUGCACCCAUUUGAAAAGGUCAAAUAUGAGUAGACGAGAUAGAAUGUUUUUGCCAGCCCUACGUAGACAUGCAUACAUGUUCCUAGCUAGCUAGUUAAUUUAAAGGAAAAAGGAUGUAAGAAAGAUAAACCCAAGUGUCUAAUGUCAAAACAAGGCGGCCGAAAUGUAGAGCUUGCAGUAAAUAAUUCUUGGCUCCAGACAUACGAGACAGGUUCGUAAAAUUAAAGACGGUAUGAAAUAUCUAUUUUGCCCUACGUUCCUUCCCCGGUCUAUCAUGUCUCGCACCUGCACGAGCGCUCCACGCAGCGCACGGGCGCUGGCGGCGCAGAUGAUCGGCGAUGGUAGCGCGCAGAGCGGCUGUGGAGGAGGGUGAGGUGGGCCGACAUGGAAGAGGUUGGGGUGGGGGAAUGUCGAAGAAGGCGACGCAAAUGACGCAAACCUGAUUGGAUCCCGAUGACGUGCUGGCGGUGCCGUUCGCUGCCCCACGACCACGUCUACUAGUCCGUGUUGGCGGUCGUAAAACUUGUAUAUACCAUAAACACCUUUCAUUCUUUGUGUAAUAUAUUACAAACAUAAACACUCACAUAAAUGUUGGGACCAAUAACCGUGUUCACCACCAGAGUUUACCGUUUCUCUGCCGGGACGUGUUCACUACCAGAGUUUGCCAUUUCUCUGCCAGGACCACAUCGUUGACACUAGUGUUGCUGUUGUUUUGGUGUUUUUCAUUGCCAACCGUAGCGCGUUUAAGGAAAAUAGAACCCCAUCAUCCAAGAAUGUGUUUUGACGCACUCACUCGGCCGUGUUCACCACUAGAGCUCACUAUUGCCAUUUCUCUUUCUGUUGUGACCACAUCGUUCACUAGUGAAGAAACGAUCUUUAAUACCGGUUAUAGCAACCGUGACAAGCAAAUCGGGACUAAAAAAUAAACGGUACCAAAGAUACAUACCAAGAUAGAUUUUCAGUACCGGUUAAAAUAAACGGUACUAAAGAUACAUACCAAAUCAAAAAAAAAUGUGUGGGAUGUGGGCAUUCGAACUCAAGAUCUCUCAGCUCAACCCUCACUCGUGUUACCAUUACACCUAAUACACACAUAUAACUUGGAUAGAUAUGCUUUCUUUUUAACCUAAUCCUGGAGGCAUUUUUAGUGGUACCAAAAAUAUCUUUAGUCGUCUGGGUUGGUGCUAUCAACCAGUAUUAAAAAUAAAUUUUCAGUCCGGACUGGUAUUACCAACCGGGAGGAAAGAUCCUACAGCAUUAGUCUCGGUUGGUGUUACCAACCAGUACUAAAAAUGUACCGAGACUAAAAAUGUUUCCAGCGACUUGGAGUGCUUUAGUACCGGUUCUUAAUCUAGCCAAAAUAUUUAUGAUUUUGGGUACUACGACGAAAUAUCAGUUCUCUAGAAGUGGUUGUCAGCAGUGUUCUCAUUGUUCUAGUUUUCUUCGUUGCCAAUCGCCAUUAUCUAUGGACGAGUUACAUUGUGGGAUACAUCCGGCCACCAUCCUUACCGUUGUUUGGUGAAUUGGAAAAUUUUAAUAUCUGUCAAAGAAAUGAGUAUGUGUUCAGAAUUAGUGAUAUGAUUUUCAUCUAUAGGCUAAAAUAAGUUUUUUAAAAAAAAUUUAUAGCCAAUUUUCAGUUGUUUUUCCAUUUACAGUAAUAGUUUUACUAUUUGAUCCAAUAAAAAUUGUUGGAAAUUGUAAUUUUCCAUCGUACUGAAUUAUUUAGAGCUAAAUGAAAAAAAAAUGAGGACUUAGCACUAUAUUGAAUUAUCGUUUCGGUCAAAGUUAUCUGUAGUUUCAUGUUAUUAUUUCUAUAAUUGUAUUUUCUUCAUCAUUUAUGUCCAGUUGUAAUAUAUGGUUUAGGAUUUUAAUUUAUGAUGAAUGUUAUUUAGAACCAGUUGCAAUGCGCGGGACAUUACACUAGUUAAAUAUAUAAGUGAGUGAAGAGAGAUUUGGAGAAGAAAAGUGGAUACCAAGAUACUGUACGUAGUAGCCUUGCAAAAGUGCACACAUACCAGUGUACUUAUUAGUAACUGUGUUUUUUCUCCAAGCACGUAUAUUUAUUCAUUUAUUGAUAUAACAUACACUUAUUGUAGAUAGCAGUUGCCACUGAUACAUCGAUUCAGCUUCAUGAUCGCUGUGGAUUGGUGGAGCUAGCUAUGGCUAGCUCCGGCGCCGCCUUAGCAGCAGCGGUGGCAAUCUCCCCUGUAGCCGCGGUGGCAGCACCCCCAACGGCAGCCGUGCCAAUGCGGGUUGUGGUGGUGGCCUGGGCCUGGUGGGUAGUAACCACCGUUCCAAGGUGGGUAGUAGCCGCCGCCGCCACCACCUCCUCCUCCUCCUCCUCCUCCGCCACCUCCUCCUCCUCCUCCGCCGCCGCCGCCCCCGCCUCCUCCUCUUCCUCCGCCGCCUCCUCCUCCUCCGCCGCCGCCGCCGCCCCCGCCUCCUCCUCCUCCUCCUCCUCCUCCACCACCGCCACCGCCACCGCCGCAUCCCUGCUUGUUGGCCUCUGUAUGCACGGAUGGGUGGGCGUACAUCACAUACAUAUACAUGGAACAUCGAUUGAUGCAAACAUACGUGAAGGAGUGAAAUCUAAUUAUUAACUAUAAUUCUAUAUAUAAACAUAUAAACGAGCGUAUGCAAUGUGUAAAUCCUAUAUACGCAAAAGUAAACAUAGAUAUGUAGCUAGCUAUAGUGUGUGCGCUCACGAGGGUCUUGGGCUGAGGCGACGAAGCAGAAAGCAGCAACGAGGAGAAGGGUGAACACAAUGAGAGCCUUACGCGCCAUGUAUGCUUGGUUUUUUUGGUUUGAUCUGAUAACUGAUGACUGAUGAGAAACUUGGACGAAAACCAAGCGUAUUUAUAGGCAGAAUGAAGGCUGCUGAUCGUGGACUCGAGGUCAAUCGAGUAGUUGAUGACGAUAUAUCAGCCCUAGCUCGUUGACACUCUCAACUCUCGAUCAAUCUAGCUAUAUUCUAUACUAUAUAUGUUGCGAGUGGAAAUUCCUGCCAUCAUGUUAACUGACUGUGUAGAUAGAUUUGGUCGGAUUUAACAAAGUCCGGUAGCUAGAUUUGGUCGGAUUUUGACAAGGUUUAAUCGUUGCAUGCACCCAUUUGAAAAGAGUCAAAUAUGAGUGGACGAGAUAGAAUGUUUUUCCCAACCCUAUCUAGACAAACAUAUACAUAUUCCUAAUUAAUUUACUGGAGUAAGGGUGUAAGAGAGAGAUAAACCCAAGUGCCUUAAGUCAAAAUAAGAAGGCCGAAAUGUAGAGCUUGCAUGCUGUAAAUAAUUCUUGACUCCAGAUGUACGAUAAUCUUCUUUUGAGUAAUGUUACUGAGAUAGGAAUGAUUGACUUUGCUGCAAACUACCCGAUCGAUUGUGGUUUGGUUUUAGCCUUGUUGGUGUUAAUUUUCCGUUUGUUUUUAAUUAGAGAAUUUAUACGGUACAAUAUACUAAUAUACUAAUAGUAUACACUGCUAGUAUAAGCAAUCUAAUGGUGUAGAUUGAUCUGAUCUUCCACUUAAAUAGAUUGUAGUAUAAAAUUUAUAAGGGUAAAUUAGUUUUUCUUUUUAUUCUGUGGCAUCAAUUUUUUUUAAAAAAGAAAGUAAUGAUCUAGGUAAAAAAAAAUGAUACCAUUGUUGGGUUGUAUAUGAAUGUGUUAACCUAGCUAGCAAGAUUCAAAAUGUGUAAGGUGUUUCAUGCACAUCUGCUAUAUAUGGUACAAAACUUACAUAAUUACCGGUAAUUGGUCAAGUAUGCAUAUUUUUUUAAUGAUGAUCAAUAUUGACCAUGAAUCGUGCCACUACAACGCAUGCCAUCGUCUCUCAUAGGCGCAAAAACAAGAUCCAGCGAUGGCGCCGUUACGCAUGAACAAGUUUCGAUUGGACCGAAUUAACUCACAACAACGAAAUUACUUAAAAUCCCUUUCCAAUUUCAUAUAUAAAUUUCUAAUUUACCAUCUAUAUACUGACAAUAUAUACUAACAUUGUAUUGUACUUUAAAAGUUCUCUUUAAUUAAUUAAUUAUGGCCGAUUUGAUAUCCUCCUGAAUGUUACAACGCGAUGUGUCCAUCCAUCUAUGUUCAAACUUUUGCUUAGCUGAUUAGUGAGAAGCCUUUAGGUUAGUAACUGGAGCUAAUUACCGCUAUCAUGUUAAAGAAACAAUAUAAUUACGGAAGAACAUUUUUUAACAUAGGGCUGAGAAUAAUUGCUCUGACAUUUGUUGUCAAAUCUAAAAGUAUCAUGCUUAGGAUGUCAUACCGGACAAAUCAAGAUAAGGACUCGAUCGACUAUAUAUCCAUAGAUUAUAUGAUAAUGCACCUUUACACAAUUCUCCAGCGCUGGAUAUACUCGUUCUACCAUGAAGGAUAUAAUAUAACCCAACCAAAAACAACGUACGCGGAAUUUAAUCUAGCUAGCCACAUCAAACUUUUGGUGCGUACGGCUCGUACCUUUUUUUCAUGAAAAACCUGACGUACAUAUGUUCAAAUUCCGUUUGCGCAGGCACGCCGUAUCGAUCGAAAAGAAAAUGCAUGUAAGAUGUGAACUUGCUCGAGCUGACAGCACUGAGGUGGUAGUAGUUGUACUUACGAUCAAACUUGUUAGCCCACGCUGAGUCAGCCGUCACGUGGGACAAAACCAGGGUGAAAACCGCCGAGAGACCUAUUGUGACCGGUUUUGUAAGUUGGGGAAUGCCGGAUGUCUGGUUUUACGGUUGAGAGACGAUUAUGUAUCUGGCUAACAAGUUGAGGGACCUUGCGUGUACUUUUCCUGUCCCGUGGGUGACCGUUCAAGUAACCGUGACGCGUUCAAGUGUCACCGCCAUAGGCCGACGGAAUGCACGCUAUCGCGCGUACGUCUAGCGUGAUUGCAUGAGCAGCCCAGCCCAGACGUGCUGCGGCCCUGAAGGUUCGACCGUGCAAAACUAGUUUUUUCCUUUUUUUUGAUUGUCGAGUUAUUGUUACCUUUCUUCUUUUGUGAUUUCUUGAAUUUCGGAAUCAGAGUGCUAUUCACCUGCAUGAUGCUCAUGUGCCAUAUUAAAUUGAUAUCAAAAAGAAAUUGUGGGAACCACUCGUCAUGGACACUAUCGUUGUAUAUCGCACCUCGUCCACGAGGUCCCCUUCCACCUCGAGCUUGGGGUUUCCUUCGGCCGACAGCGGAGGCGACCUCCCUAGCUUGAAUACAUGCAGCGGAGGGUGGCGCAAUUGGUAUCGAUCAUACAACAGUAAUCCUCACACUCGGGAAGGAGCAGAGCCGUGGUAGUGGUGGAACUCAGGGUGUUUGCAGGGUGAAGGCGGAGAGGAGCUCAUGAAGUGGAGAUCCGCGUUCCCUAUGGCUCCCAUGAGCCGGUGGGGGUUGGAUGAGCGUCUCCAACUAUCCUCAACCGUGCAUGCUAUCUUCUUCUAACAACUUGAUUUGUGACAAGUUGACAUUGUGAAGACUGCCGCCGUCAUUGCCACCACUCUUCUCUUUGAGAUCGGGAGGUCAGCAGCAUGAGAGAUGGAGCCCGUCAGGAAGAGGCUCAUGGGUAGUACAUGAGCGAAAAAAGGGAGGUGGCAACCAUGCAAGCUGGCAUGUUUUAUUUUAUCGCUAAAUUUUCUUGUAGGUGUCAUGAAGGUAUGAACCAUGCACCUUGGUUUCUACUAUGUGGUAAAUUAGACGGUUUCAAAAAGGGGUGUUGGAUACUCAUACUCGGUUUCAAAGUUAAGGGGAUGUGUUUUAGAAUUUAGACACACACAACUAAGGGGGGUCAAUUGGACUUAUCUUUUUUUUUUCUUGCCAAGAAAGAUAAGUGUUAUUGCCUUAUUGGAUUAUUGUAGGAGUUUGUUUCAGACAAACGUGAUUGUUGAGGUAGUCAAUUGGAUUUUUUUUCUUAACUAAAAAACAUACCCGUACGUUGCAACGGGUGAAAACUAUUUUAAUCUUAUUAUUGUUCAAUGUGAAAUUUACUUGCAUAUAUAAUUUUCUAGAAAAUCAUGUUAAGUUAGCAUGUGAAUUUUUUUAAGAGAUUUAAUAUACGACUCCUUAUGUAUUUUCAAAAGCGAACAAAUUUAAAACCUGACUUAAAUACAGAUCUGUAUUUCUAAAAACAAACGAAUUAAAAAACCGACUCAUACACGGAUGACGUAUUAAAGAUCUGAUAAAUGCGAAAAAAGGAGUUGGUCAAUCUCGUGGGUGAGGUUGUUCACUUUGCUCUACAUUUAUGCAAUGCGAAUGGCGACCUGCUUGCUUGUUGCGGCGGCAAGCAAAGAGACCAUCUUCCCACGGUAAUGGGAGAAGCUCGUUUCGCUCGUAUGAGCCCAUGGGGCCCUAAACUUAGAGCGCAGGUACCUCGUAACACUGUCAAGGGGAGCCUAGGAUCCUUGCAGUCUCUUUAAUUUUUCUCUUUCCCUUCAGCCCAACAAGAGAACAGCCCAUCACACAACUUCGCCAACUCCUUUUACCCCUCAAAUCAAAGCCGAGGUUACAAGCCUGCGCCACCAGGCCCGGCGAUCGAAUCGCAGGCGCGCCCCUAUUUAUCCAGGUGUCGAGCGGUGAGAAUUUCCCGUGUGGUACAAAACUGUUCCGUGUGAGGCGCCCGUAAAUUAACCGAGGAGGAUCCGCCUCUGAUUCGAUUAUAUGGCGCGGUUUUUGUCACGUAUGUACGCAGAAAUUAACGUGCACGUAGAGUCGCGUACUGAUUAGAUCAAGCUAUCAACGACGCAUUUGCGGCUUUGCGCAUGCAUGCGACAAGACGCGAUUGGUUGAACAGCUCAUGCGCGGUGCAUAUGCCCCGCAUGUGCAAAGUAUAUGAUGUGGUUUCGGGAGGACGGUACACACACAUGUGCGAUCUGUGCGAAUUACAUGCAUUUGCUCAUUAGGGAAAACAGAUCAUCUGUGACCGUUAAAAAAAUGCUACUACCACCAUUUCAUCAUAUUAUAAGUUGUUUUUACUUUUUUUUUCACCAAGUUUAUAAAAAACAUAGUAGCUUUUUAACACAAAAUAAACUUAUUAUCAAAAUAUAUUUAGUACUAGAUUUAAUGAAACUAAUUUAUUGUUUUAAAUGUUUCUAAUUUUAAAUUUAGUCAAACUCAAUAAAGUUUAAGUAGAAAAAUAUCAAAACGACUUAUAACAUAAAUCGGGGGAGUACCACGUACUAACAGCUUGGCAAACUGAUAAUUUGGUACUAAAUGACAACAUCUCCUUUUGUUAAGAAAAAAAGUUUUUUAAAAGAAAAAGCAGAUAAGUCUGUUAAUUUUUUUAAUCAAAUAAGUUUGUUAAUUUGGUCAGUAAUCCUGCUUCCCCACUGCUUGAGUGGCUCGCUGGUUCGGGCGGCCACAAGGACGAUUAUAGCGGGGCUCUUUUUGUUCCCGCCUUUUCGGUGUGAGGUUUCUUUCUUCCUUAAUGCGGAGCUUUCUCUCCCAUGUGUUCUAGGUCAGUCAACUCAGCCGCGAUGGGGGAGGCCAUGGUGCCACCCGGAUCCGCACGCUACGCGAUCGGAUCCGGUGUUUCCUCAGUGGAGAUGAUGGAUGUAGGUGUGGUGGGGCUACGGACAACGGUGAUGUAGCAAUCUAGGCGUUGGCUCAGGGUGUGGACAAUGAGGCAGAGUCAGGUUGCGGUUGAUGUAACAAGCUUGCCGCAUGUAGUGGUGAGGUCACCGGCGAUGUUGAGAACAACGAUGCGGAUACCUGGCAAAGCCCGAAGAAACCUAGUGCCACCACUAUGGAUGGCCAUGUGUUGUAGCGACGGCGUGAAACAUGGGCAGUGCUGCAUACUUGUCCUCAUAUGGGCCUGGGCACCGAGGGCUUUGUCCUUGAGAGGUCUAGGACGGCAGCGGCUUGUGCUAGUUUCUAGGGUUUUCCCCUGGUUUUUUCUCCUCCUUUUGCCUAGAUCUGGAAGCACUACUACUACAAAAAAACAAAACCUAAUAUGGACCAGCUCAUAGGUGUUGAUUCACUUAAAACUAGCACCUACUGACUGUUUUCCACCUCCAUGGGAUGAAAAAAAAUAUAGAACGACACCUUUGAGCAACUAUAUGUGUCGGUACUAAAGAAAAACCAGCACCCAUAAAAAUCGAGCUAAGCCGGUGGGGUGGGAGAUUCUUUUUAGCCCCACACUCGCAAGUUGUACUUAUACACUAUCACCAACACCUUCGCUCUCUCCCUCUCGUUUUCUCCUCUCGUCUCGUCUCCCUCCUCCUGCGAGUUGUCCUUAUAGACUCUCACUGACACCUUCACUCUCUCCCUCUUGUUUUCUCGUCUCGUCUCCCUCCUCCUGUGAACCCAUCGCUGCGGUUGUGGGGCGGGUCAUCAUCAUGGCUAGCAGCGGGGCGACGCGGAGGACGACAGAGGCGGUCGUGAGAGUCCUCGGCCUAAUCCUCUCUCUCUCUCUCUCUCUCUCUCUCUCUCUCGAUCCACUUUCCCGAAGAGCUGACAAGUAACACGACGAUGGUGGCCCAUCUCUCCUCAACGUCAUUACGAUGGCAGCGAUCACGGCUCCGUCAGGUCCUCGUCCUCCCGCCACCAUUGGCCAUGGCGUCAGGCUCCACAGUUAGAUUCGUCAGCAACGGUGAUGGCGGUGGCACUAAUGCCACAUUCGGCAGGUUUGAGUUUAGGGACCGCUGGAUCUAGUCCUCCCUGGUGCUCGACGUCAACCACGGCGAGUGGCGACACCUCUCCUCGGCAGCAAUGACAGCAUUCUCCCCUCAUCCCCACCUCUCCAUGAGCAACGGCGGCGGCGGUCCACAUGACUAACAUGUAUGUAACCCCUCCUUUCUUUCCCCAUCCCCCUCCCUGAUAUCUUCCACCAUCCCCCAGAUUUAACUAUGGUCUUCUGGAUUUGAGCAGUGGUGGUGAGCAGCAACUGUAUCCUUUGCCUCUUAUGAACAGCGUCAGUGGCGACGGACAAUGGCCUUGGCCUUUGAUAGGCGGUGAUGGCCCUGGUCUCUGGUGAGAUAAGGCGAUGGAGGCUUCCAUGUAUUGAUUUGUGAUUUAGUUUUUGGGAUGAAUGUUAUGUGUGCAAUUUUCUAGGAUGAUUUUGGUUCAUUGUUGUUGGAUUUGUGAUUUUUUUAUUCAAUUUGUGUGCAUGUUCUUUGCUCGAAGUAGCCGAAGCAUCGAGCCAACAUUUUUUCAUUCCUAGAAUCUUAAAGGUGCCAGUUUCUAAAUUGGGACCUUUGAUUCUCCACAUCAGUGCCAUCUGAGUGGUAUCGGCUAGGAAAUCCGACAUAUAUGAGGGUUUUCCAAUUGGCACAAAAGUGUAUUUCUGUAGUAGUGAAGCUCCCCAUUCAUUAGGCUAUAGAACAAUGAAGGCGACAUUAUGGAUGUGACGACAUCAGUGGACUCGAGGCCGUUGCCAGUGACGAUGGGGACAACUGGUUCUAGCCUCCCUUGUGCAGAUAUAGCGGCGGCCCUACUAGGCACGUUGGUGUUGGGCACAACGGCAGUGGUAGGCAAACAUGGAUGCCCUCAUGUAGAUGCAUAUGGCAUUCGCACGACAAUUGUUCAAAGGCAGGAUGGAGGCUUGCGGUGAUGACAACAGGGUCGGACUAGAUCCUCACCUUCCCCCUCCUUCCCCCCUCCCCUCCUCUCAUGCUUGGUCGUCUAUGGUGGGUAGUUCCCUAUGGGAUGGUGAGUGUCGGUUGAUAGGAUUUUUCCGGUGUAAUUGAAGAAUGCUUCAGGGUAGUGUGUAUCGGCAUGGAUGAACCACUUCAGGCUUUGUUCUAUGGAAUGUGUUGAGGAGGUUGCGAGAGUUUGUGUUGUUUUUAAAGAUUACGUCAGUGCUGCUUUCAACGUGACAAGUCUUGUCAAUAACCAUAUUGAUAUUUGGUACAACGAUCCUAACAUCAAAGUUUCUAAUUGAACGAUGUGUCGGAUCGUUAGCAAGGACGUCUUAGAACAUUUGAAGCUUUGUCGUCUAGUUUUUCUUUCAUGUAUUUUGGUGUCCCUUGGGUACGAGGCAUGGAGUAUAAAUAUUCCUAUAUAUAAAUUUUAGCUAUGUAUAUCCACCCGUGGAUAUAGAGGCCGGAUUGCUAUCCGUUAAUCUAAAAAAUAUCAAAGCUACCUUAAGUGUGACUUAUAUUUUUCAUAUUUGCAUUGAAUUUUUAAUACAAAUAAGAGCGAAAUAUUAUGUCAAAAUGUCAAUGGCGUCAUAUAUUUAAAAACAAAAGGCACAAUGCUCAUCGCCGCCACAAUGCAUCGGUGCUUGACUUCAUCAUCGUAAUUUUGCUUAGAUAGGAGGCCAAGGGAAGUGUCACCAUGCUUGUCAAAGUUGUGUUGGUCACCACCAACCAAGCUCUACCAUCUUUCUCCCUAGUUAUGCACAGCCACUCGUUGAUGUCGCCAGACAAUCAACAUUGGCAUCCGCCCCUCCUCUUAAUCACCACGUCUAGUCGUAGCCUCAAGCUCGAAGCUGUCGUAUCUAGCAAUCUUAAACUCCAAAGCUAGCGAAAAGGAGGGGCAAGAAG